rnacentral:lncRNA from 1 species
GUCCUAGUUUACAUGAAUUAAUAUUUGCAAUGACAAUUAGGUUACUCAUGACAUGAUAAAGAAAAAGUUUUUUUGUGAGGUAAGAUAAGGUUUUAUAUAACUGUUCAUGGGGACCUCCUCAUGGUUGCAGAUACAUAGUUUUACAGUGCUUCAUGAAAUAGUUGCAUAUCACUGUGACACCCCAAAAUUUUUAACCUUGUUUUAUUAGUUAAAUUUUUGCCAGGAAACUUAAACUUUUGUUUUCUGGAUUUUCUUUUGAUUUCAGAACCUUUCUUCCCUUUAUUUUUAUGGAGUUUUACCCCAAGUGAAAACAUUUCAAUUAUUGUUGGAAUUAUUUUUCCUCUUUAGUAAAACAAUUCUUUUAUCAGUGGGAUUAUUUGCAUAAUUUUUCCCUGAGGCCUUAUUUCUGUAAAAAUGAUUUUUUUUAAGCUUCAGGGCCUCUUUUGCACUGCAACCCUUUGAUAAAUUCAUUCAAAAAUUCCACCAAAAUUUGGAGAUGUCAUGUGAUGUUUUUAAAACACUUUUAUGCUAAAAUAUAUUUCAUUCCUUGGAUAUUUUGAGUUCUACACCAAGUUCUCAAAUCUGGUCCAGAGGACAGUUUUGCACUACAACCUAUUUAAAUAUUUCUUUAAAACUUCUACCAAAAUUUUGGGAUGUCAGUAGGAGCAUAUUAUUCCAUUAUAUGCAAAAUCCAGGGAUGUUCUUUGAAAUAUUUGAGUGAAUCAUCCUCUUAUUCAUUCUGGUGCAACUUGGUGAUUUGCACUGCAACCAUCUUCUAACUUGCUCCUCUACCCAUGAGCUUUCUCCUACUUGUAGUACACCUUACCAAACCCUUAAGUCCAAGAGCAUGAACCCAUUGGGAGAAUUUUUUUUUGUCCAUGCAUUGAUGCCAUUUACCUUCUGUCCAGAACUGAAGAUUUGCAAAACUUGCACUAGCAAGUUUCUUCUUUUGGCAAACUAACCUCACCACUCUCUCUUUCACCUAAAGAGACCCCACUCUGGAAGAUUUGACCAUUCCAAGAAAUGCCUAGGUGCAUGUGGCAUUCUGUCAAACACCUUAUGGGUUUUAGUUUGCACUAUGAACUUGCUUCCCUUGCCUAACUACCUUGUCCAAUAAACUCCUAGCUACCCCUAACCUAGGUCUGCUAAUUCCUAGCCUCAUCCGAGGCCUCUAGCUUGCCCUGGCAUUUUGUCGAGCACAUCCCGUGCGUGCUCUGGGCGCGAGCAGAGCACGCGUUUUGCACGUACCGCGCCCGAGCCGCCACGUCGCGCCCCUGGUUUUGCCCACACCACAGAGCCGCGCCACGCACUCUCCCUCUCACCAGAACACGCCAAGCAGCCCUGGUGCCCUGCAGCACCGCCGUUAGAGCCCUUGGCGGCACGCUGGCGUCCGCAGCGCGUCUCUGCCCGGUCGGUGCCGCCCAAGCCUCUCCCGCUCGCCACCUGCCCCUGGAACAGCUCAGCCUCAUCCUCUCGCGUGUCCUCUAGCUCUCGUCGCCGCCACGACGCCCUGCUGCUAUAGAGAGGCGGUUCGCCGGUGAACUUAUCCACGGCCGCCGCAAACCGACCUCGUUACACUAUAAGAAGAGGCCCCGAGAACGUCCCGUUCCACAGGCAGCCUCAAAAUGCUCCCCUAGUUCUCCCGUGGCAGCCAAUCGACCCGGGGAGGUCUUCUUCCCCACCUCCGGCAACAGCAGCCGCCGCCACUGUCCCGGCCAUUCCGGCGCCACCAGAGCCUCCCCCUCUCCACUCUCUUCACCAUGAGCUUCCUCUCCCCCUAGUGAAUCCAUCCCCCUGCUCGAUUUUGAUCGAGACUCACUGCGAGAGAAAAAUCACUUUGCCCGACGACCACCGUCCACUGCGAAGCUCGCCGCUGGCAGCUUCGUCCACCCCAGAGACCGUAUCAACCACCGGAGUGACCGUCUCGAUCCCCUGAACCCGCGAAUGGCCUCCGUUUCCUGAACGGUGCCGCCAUUCGCCCGCGAGCAUCGCCGGAGCUCCGCCUAUGUUCGGUUGGAGGAGGCGACGCGCGCGUGGACUGGUCAAACCUGACCAGUGGGCCAGGCGGGUCCACUGUCAGUGACCCAGUGCCGAUCCACACAGGCAUAAGUGGAAACGUAUUUUUAGAAUACGCCUUCGACAUGGUCAGUUCGAAUCGUUUUCUUUUUAUUCUGUUUUAUUUUAAAAAAAACAGAUUUUGACCACAGCUUUGACUGCCUAUAACUUUUUAAUGAUAACACCAAAUGAAUUGAUUCCUUUUCCUACCUCUCUCAAAUUUAAUCUAGUUUAUUUUAAGAUUUAUUUAAAAAAAUUCAAACAACUUUUUGUGCUGUUUUGAAUUUGUGUGUUGAUUCAAAUUUUAUUUAAAAUAGGACUUUGGAGAGUGAGAAGCAAACUUUCAAAAGUUUUGGAGUGCACCCUGCCUUUCCACAUAUUGAAGGCAAGCAUUCUGAACCCUGGCAUAAUAUUUUGCAUGCGUUGUUUGACACGAUUAUGACACCACCUCAGUACGUGGAACUCGUUAGUUUAUGUGGUGAUGUGAUCGUUUGCAUAAAUGCUUAUUGGAAAUUUCCUUGCUGUUGGAAAUGGACAUGCUUGUGAUAGUGAUCAUCCUCGUAUGCCUUUCAUGCCUACCGGAAGGAAAACGGGAAAGUCUCUGUCUUGGGUAGACCCGAGCUUGUCCCUAGUUCCUCGUCGAGACGAGUGUGUCUGGCAUGGCAUGAGGGGUAUGAUGAGUGGUGAUUCUGUCUGUUGGAUGAAAUAUAUUCGUUAUGCUAAUCAUGCAGUGAACACUUAAAAACCUCCUGAGUCGGCCAUAGAUCGAGUCUUGUUCCAGUAACCCCCAUACUUGUUUCGUACUACCACUUGUCUCUACAACAAGUAGAGUACGGUUCACUAAGUCUUCAACCCCUUUCUAGCACACACCAUAUAGAGAGGCCAUGGUGGAAGAUACCGGUUGUAGCUGGUAGGCAGGCCACCUGGUCCGGGGGCAUGGGUGUUUCCGGUUGAGACCGAGAGGGGAGGCCACCCCUUAGAGCGCGCGAUAUAAAUUUGAUCCCAUGCUACGCGAGGUUGUAGCAUCCCCACUUAGAGUUUUGCUUAACAAGUGUUGUGGGUGAUUCCAGACACCGGUAAGUUAAGCUGGUGUGUGCAAGUUAGGUGUGUUUUCAACUAAAAGGCCGUAGACGGAAUUAGUCCCGAUGGACUAAAGGAAUCCGUUACUCGUGGGUAAAGAGUACACCCUCUGCAGAGAUUAAACCUAUUCGAAUAGCCGUGUCCAUGGUUAAGGAUUACAGUCUGGGAUGGGUCAAGUGUCGGUCUUAGUGUCGGUCUUCGGAGGAGAAACUGUUAUACCAGAACUGGGAUCACGACUUGAGACUUGUAAUGAUUAUGAUUAUUAUUUUGUUGUGGACUAACCCGUUAUGUAAUUGGCAUUAUCGAAUAUCCCUGGGAUGGUGCUACCUCCUGGAUAUUCACUGUGAUUAUUUAUAAGCCCUUUAUGUGGUGUCACUGAGACGCCCGACUAUGGCAUGCUUGUUACUUAUUUACUUUAUAAGCCCUUUAUGUGGUGUCGCUGAGACGCCCGACUGUGGCAUGCUUGUUACUUAUUUACUUUAUAAGCCCUUUACGUGGUGUCGCUGAGACGCCCGACUGUGGCAUGCUUAUUAUUUACUUAUUUUGUAAGCCCUUUAUGUGGUGUCGUUGAGACGCCCGACUGUGGCAUGCUUGUUAUUUACUUAUUUUAUAAGCCCUUUAUAUGGUAUCGCUCAGACGCCCGACUGAGGCAUUUCUCUUUGUUUACUAACCUUUCGAGGCGUCGCUUCAGACACCCGAUCGGUGCAUUUUAUUAUUAAUAUGUUAUUGCAUAUUCAUAAAUAACCUGCUUGCAUGCAUCAGAGUUUUAUUAUCUUUUGUGACUAACGUCGUGAACUUAAAAUAUUUCAGAACAUCGUUGUUAUAUUAUACAUGUAUUCAUAAUGUUUGCGAGUACAUUCAAAGUACUCACUGGCUUGUCCCUGGCUAUUGUCUUGGCCAGAUUUCUUGCGCGGAGAAGAGCGACUGUGAUGAUAGCUCUGGAACCUAAGCUAUGGUGAUAGCAGCCUCGCGAAGAUAGGAGUUAACCUGGUCAGCUGUUCCUGUGGGAAAUGGAGUCCCAUAGACGCUGAUGACCCACAAACUGCUUCCGCCAUCAACCACGAGAAACCAUUUGUUGUACUCACAGGCCAUAAUGAUCUUGUGCUACAUAUUUUGUAUUUUGCUUGGAAUUCUGUAACAAGUUGGUGCCUCAUCAGCUAACAGUAAUCCUGGGGCUCGUGAGCACAAAGGCCAUUUUCUGGGAAAUUAUUACCCGGAAAACCGGUCGCCACAAUCACCAUGUCUAAAAGAAGAAUCAUGACGGACACAACUUCAAGAAAUUCUUCUUGUCAAAUAACAUGAUUUGUAUAUAGCUCAUAGAGGAUAUAACUUGUUGGUAGAAUUUAAUAUUGUGACACACUCGCCAUCUUUUGUGCCAGCAUUAUUUGGGUGAUGAUUUAAUAUCCAAAAGCAUACAGGUAGUUAUGUGCAAUGAUAUUCUUGUGAAAAUAACUUCCAUAGUGUAUACUUGCAUAUAUGUAUUGCUCUAUUGUAUUCUCACAGUUAAUCCUUUUUCUUAAUUUUCUGUUUGUUUAUUUAUGUUUAGAGCAAGAUUAUAAAUUAAGCUGAGCAUAAUUUCUGCAGAUUAUAGAUGGCCCAAUAAAGACAAAGGGCGAAGGUACAAACUUCAAGUAAUUCUUCUUGCCACAUAGGUUUUUCUAAUUGUGCGAGCAUACCAGUUGUAACUGCCUUCAGUCAUCUAUGUCAGUAGUAUUUUGAGAAGAAUUUCAUUACAAAAUGCAACGACUCAAAUAAUCAGAUUGUUCAUGAUGAUUCCUAAUUGUAUAACCAAUAAGCUUAACACACCUUCCUAUUUUAGAGUUGUUAUCUUAAUAAGUAUAUACUAUAUGUUAUUAAUGUUGUUGUUGGGUGAAGAACAUUUGUUGCUCAUGGUUAGAAUGCAGAAUUUUCUUAACACAACAACCUAGAGCGAAUGUGGAGGCCAAUAUAGAUUAAAACCAUUAAUUCAUAUUAAAAUGGUCAUGACUUCUUAUUUUUAUUUGACAUAAAUGUUUGUGACUUGUUUGAAUUAAUGUGUUCUGCAAUUAUAUGAUACUUCCAUAUUCAUACUAUUUUUAUGAAAUGUGCAGCUAGUUUGUCAACAGGAGCACGAACAACCACAACUUCUACAAAGCUUCCACAUGGUUUCAUUUAGUAUCAUGCAAAAGACAUUGAGACAAUCAAGAUUACUUGAGCAACCUGAAUUAUGUUAGUUGUUACCUGCUUUCAAACGAAUGUGUCCUCUCAUAGUAUGCAUGUACUUCUGUUGUUGAGGAAUUUAUAUCAUUAGACAGUUCUGUUUUUCAUAAUUAUUGAUUAAUGGGUACAUACCUUCAAUCCUGGAAGAUUAUCAGAUAGCCAGCCAAGGAAGCGAUUUGUUUAUUGAAUUGGGCAUAAUAGGAACAUUUUUACAUUCAAAGGAACAUCAUAGGAAUAAUUUGGUAUUUCAAGAAGAUUUUCCAGUCCCCUGCCCCAACCUACUGGAGACAGUAUGAGUGGUGACAGACACAUUUGUAACAUACGAGCAAGCCAGUGCAGCAGCUUCAGUCACAUGCUCUGGAAGCCCAUUUUGGGUCUUCCUUUAGAAGGCUCAACAAGGCCAUCAUCACACCAUUCUAGUUAGUUACUUCUGCAACGAUAUAUGUCCGUAAGAACAUAAGAAGCUAGGGUUCUAGUAGACUUAUAAUGCUCUAACAGCACCACGUUGGAUAUGCCCGUACAAAUAAAAUAACUUGAAUCGAGUCUAUAUGUAAGAACAUAUCUUGUCAUCAGUCAACUACUAGUACAGUAAGAGCAUCAAAGAGGAAUUCAUUUCAUAUAGAAUAGUCGCAAUCAUAUACUUUUGUUCUGCACAUACUGCUCAUUAUCAUGGACAAUGAUGUAGCUAGCUAAAAGGGGGCAUGUGGCUAUAAUGUAAGCAGGGAGGCUCCAGGGACGAGCUCAACAGACAGAACUAACCUGCUCUUGCAAGGAACCAGUAAGCCUUGCUACAUUGUCACCUGCAUGCUGCAUGGCAUCGCGUCCACCAGCUAUUGUGGUAUGUCGCAACUCUUUCCUCACAUCUUUUCACCGAAGCGAUCGUUGGCGAAUUCUAAUCUUUCUGGAACAACAUUCCUAAUUCCCUGCACUAGAAGGUCAUCAUGAUGCAUCGGUACAUCGGAAUUCCGGACACAUUAACAAAAUCUUUGCCCAAACCAAAUUAAGGGGGAAAUGAGAAAUGAAGGAGAGAACCAAAUAGUAAGUUAGGUUAUAUAUAUGUAUGUAUGUAUCUAUAUAUAUAUAUAUAUAUAUAUAUAUAUAUAUAUAUAUAUAUCGUUCAUAGUAAAAACAACCGGAAGUGUAUCCAUGUUGUUUGCUUAGGUGGCUGAAAUCAAGGUCCUAUUCACUGGGAUGAUAAACCUACUAAAUAAAAGGGUUCUCAAAGUCCCCUCAGAACUAGAGUCGAGUAACACAGUCAUGGUCCCAUGGGGUUUCAGGAUAACGACAUGAAAAUGUGGUUAACACAAUCAGCUCUCUCAUUAAGAUUUGUCUUAUUUUUAUCACUACGGGAAAAUUCAUGUUUGCAGAGUGUUAGUGUCUUUGUUGAGUGCAUUAUGUUGGGCACUCGGCAAACAUAUCUUUGCCGAGUGUAAUCCUGAAACAUGGUAAACAUGUGCUUUGCCCACUGUCGUGGAAAAAAACUCUGGCAAAAAAGUUAUAGUUACUAAAAGGUGCUUUGUUGAGUGUCUUGGAAAUAACUCUCGGCAAAAUAGUGGAACUCGGGCAAAGAUGUGCUUUCCCGAGUGCUACACUCGGCAAAAGGGGGUAUGCACUGUGCUCACUGUUUUGGCUGUCGAGAUUGCAUACAACCUUGGAUGAAGAUGAUCCAAAAAUCGAAGUUUUUUAUUUCGACAAGAUGAAUAGUUUUCAUGUUGAGGACCUUUUCAUUUUAGGCCAUAUUAUUUACACUUUUUGCCAUGCCAAAAUAUGGUCCCAAAUGAAUAAGGCAGUGGUCAUAUUUAUUGCAUAGUUUAUGACUAUGGUCCUAACCUUGGCAUUUAUGUGCAUCUUGCCAUUACAAACAAUUUUGCCAAAUAGAGAUUCCAACAUUUUGUACAAAAAUAAUUUUUUUAUUUUUGAAGCAUAAAAAAUUGAUACUUUUGUGAAGCUGGUAAAAAAAAUAGAGUGCAAAAUGGCAUCACUCCAAUUUUCACAAAAAUAGACCAUGCUUUUUUAGAAAAUUCCCAUUUCUUGUGGAUUUUCUAGAUUUCUAGCUACUUUCACACAUUUAUAUGACUUUAUUAUGAUUCCGCAAAAUUAAUUCAAUUUGAACUGUAAUUGUGUGAUAGCUCUGUCCUAGAAAUUUGCAAAAAAUACUUUUAAGUACACAAGUAGUCAUUACCUGGAAAACCCACUUAGAGUUUGAGAGAUUCAACCCCUUACAUGAGUAGCCAUGCCGGCCACUUUCACCCCGUUUGGGAAAAAAUGAAACCAAAAGGAUACAAGUUCAAAAAAUGCAAUCCUUUCAUAUGAACUCCUUUUAUCUGUACUAGUGUGGAUGAAAAUACCAAACUUUCAAUAUGACAGUUUUCAAAGAAAAAUAUCCUUCACAAAUGGGCUAUCCUCUAUGAACAUUCAUGGCUUUCAAGUCAAUGACCAAGGUGAUGACCAUAUUCAUUGCAUAGUUUAUUAUAAUGUGCCUAAAUUAGACAUAUAGGUGAACCUUGCCAUUACCAAUAAUGUUGCAAAAUAGAAUUUCCAACUUUUUUGUUCAAAAAAAUCAUUUUCUAUUUCAGUAUAAAAAAUGGGUGUUUUUUGUGAAGCAGGUACCAAAAACAGGGUACAAAAUGGCACCACUCCAAUUUUCACAAAAAGUAGACCGUAUUUUAUGGACAAUUCCCAAAGUGUGUAGAUUUAUCUCUUAAAAUUUAACAAUUGGUGUAUUUUUUAAUAUUUAAUGAAAAUAAUAUAUGUAUUUUUAAUAGGAAGGGCGGAUAUUUAAAGGAUAGCAUAGACAUCUGAGGGUGUACGUUAAAGCGUUGGAGGUACCUUUAUGUGUCAGUUUACGCCAUGCUCAACCGGCAAUGUGGUAGUAUUAAUCAGUAUAUACUUUUGAUUGUAAAAGAAAUCAAUAUAUAAUUUGUUUGGAUUAUUUUAGUUUGCAGGGCAAACUUAAAAUGGAUUUAUUUAGCCUAUUUUUGUGAAAUCACUAAUUAGGAGGUACCUUUUGCAAAGGUCACACCCCACUUUCAUUAGUGCUGACAGGUGGCACAUGGCAUGUGUGUCCCUUGUCGCAACAUGGGAGUUUCCCCUUUUUGUAGAUUCAUUUUUUAAAAUCUUUUAUCUCUUGAACCGCGCAUUCAAAUCACGACCCAUUUUUAUCGUUGGAUUUCUCCCGCCGAGAUCUUUGAAACUAGUCACAUGUUAAUAAGUUCCGAUGAACUUUUUCUUCACGAAAAUCAAACAAAAAAAUAUGAAAACAAAAAAUACAGAAAGCAAAAAAAGAAAAAAAAACUAAAAUCAAGGUUGUGCUUUUUUACAUUUUUGGGAAGAAAAAGUGUGCUUUCCCCUUUUUGGGAAACACGGUUUUGCUUCUUGUGCAAGCAUAGGUCGUGCUUUUCCCUUUUCAAGAAGCAUAGGCCAUGCUUCUCUUGUUCUCCGGGAAGCACAUAUGUGCCUUUCCUUUCGGGGAGCACAGUUUUCUCUUUCGGAAAAGCAUAGAUGUGUUUUUCCCUUUUCAGAGAAGCACUACCUAUGCAUCUCACCGAAGAACAUGCUAUGCUUUUCCUUUUUUGAGGAAGUAUAGUUGUGCUUUCCCUUUUUUACAGGGUAGCAAAAAUUGUGCUUUCUUCCUUCUCGGGAAGCUAUGCUUCCCGCGGAAAAGCACCGCCUCAUGAAAAAACAUAAAAAUGUUUUUUUUUCAUCAAAACCUAGGGAAAACCAAGAAAAAAAAGAAAACAUGUGUAAAAAAAUCUAAGGGUGAACCCAGUGCACGACACGUGGCGGCAAUUGGAUGCAUCACUUGAUGCGCUCUCAGGUCCUAAAAGUAGCCUAUGUGGAAUCCCCCGAUGAGAUACCCGUUAGAUAGUUGGAGACCUCCUUGCAUCAAAUAGGAGGGUGGCCACAAAGGGGGCGCAUCCUGGUGGGCCGGCCCAGCAGCGUGCUACACUCUAGCGCAAAUUGGUCAAAAUCUAAAAAGUGAUGUGUGAUCAAAGCGCGCAUGGCUAGCCACUCAAGCUAAUGAAACUCUGCUAACUACUAGGCCGUGUUGAACUUUAAAAAGUACUAUAUGAUACCCCGCGCGUUGUUGCGGGAACUCUUAGUACUUUACAUGAAGAAGCUUGUGGAGUGAAAAUAAUUAAAUGAUGAAAAUAUACACUUUUUAAAACCUUUGGUGGUACUUGUAGGAACAUUAUGGAGUGAAAAUAAGUUAACAAUUAAUAUAUUUUUAAACCUUUGAUGGUAUUUUGAGAAUCAUGAGAGAAAUGGUAUAUUAGGGUAUCUCUGUAUUUAUGUAGUUAGAACGCGCCACCCUUCAGCGGGGAAUUAAAUGCAUCGCUAACAUUAAAAAAUAGAGCAUAUAGUUUGAUGGGAAUUUCACUGAAAACAUGGCCAGCCAAGUCUAAAGCUGAAUAUUACACUGAACAGAGAGCCCAAUCAUUGCCUAACACAAAAGCACUAAUGCUUGUUGAGUUAUUUGUAAUAUAGGAGCAGAAUCCCUUCGAAAGAGAAAUUCCAAAAUAUUAAAAAGAUCCAACAGUAAGACAUCCAUACACCUUACAGUUUAUACAUGGAGACAAGCUACAUACCAAUCGCUAAAAAGGUGAAUAUAGAGUCAUGCACAUCAGGCCCUCAUGGCAUAGAUGCAUUUCUUCCACUAAAAGGACAUGCCUUAAGGGGAUUAGUGUAGGUGUGAAGAUCUGGACAUAUAAAUGGCAGGAAUGACUUCAUCUUCCUACCCCUUCUAUGGAAACAGAGGCCCGACUUCAAUUGGGAUCCGUUUGACAUGUUGCUCCCUCUUCAUAAAAUGGAGCUGAUCGUUAUCUAAAAGCAAGCUAGGUAGAUUUGGCAUGGCCAGCAGUAGUACUUGCUACUUUGCCAGUUGUGAUGCAUCAUAUGAGAAGGCAAGGAAGGUUGUGUGCUGCCAUGGCCGGACCCUUUGGGGUGCCAAAUGGUGUUCAAAUUUAUAGUAGGUUCCAUUUUUGGUGGGAAUCCAAGGAAAAGAAGGCAAUGGAGUAAGAUGACAACCCAUUCCCAGACUGCCACUCAAAAUCAAAAUGAAGAGGGUAAAUAAAUGUACUUACUAAGAACACACGGAUAACAUAUAGCUGGCUACAGAAACAGCCAAACUUUGUAAGUCCACGGAAAUUGAGGAAAUUGUGAAAACUAUUUCUGUGAGUAGAAGGAAACGUAGUCCAGUUACCUUUCAUGGUAAUGCUUCUCUUGAGACGAUUCUUAGGAUCCCUGAAGAAUGUCUUCUGUUUUCCUGAAGCGGGAUUCCUUGCUAGAGCAGUACCUUUUGUUCUCUUGAGUUAAGGCAGAGUGGGAAAUACAUCACUAUCAGCUCUAGUUCAAUUGCUUGUAUUUUACAAAAACAUACAAUUGAAACAAUUAUCAGGAAAAGUUAUUACCUUAAUCGCAGCAACUCUUUGAGCAUGCAAUUUGGCGUCUUGGUGUAUAAUCUUCAUGUGUAAACAAUUUGUUUUAGCAUCUAGACUCUAUAAUUAAAAUUAAUAAGUUCUUUAAAAGCCAAAGGCAACUAUAUAGACCAAUACAAUUAAACAAAGGCAGCGGGUAGGUUUCAAAUUUGAAGUAGCAGGGCUCCAUAGUUAACUCUCCAUCAUGCAGGCAUUUAGUGUAGUAGAUACAAGACAUACGUGUGACAGAUUGCAUAUGAACAACAUUUAUUAGUAGGAAAAUUGUACUACCGUAUAUUGCACUAACACUAACUAUAUGAAGAAGCCAAUAGCAUGUAAUUUCAGCUUGCAAGAAAGCGCCACUUACUCUUAUAGAUCGGCUAAUCUACAUGGCAACUUCCGGGGAUGGUGAUGGAUAAGUACAGUUGGAUCGUGUUUAGGUGUUAAUCUAUUUUUAUAAAAAUCAUCUUCCUUUACUUUCAAGGGAGAACUGUAGAGGGGAAAGAACAACAUUUUUUAAUCUAAUGAUCCAUCACUUAUUCACAACUAUUGCAAUAACCAAGUAUGUUGGAUGCAAGGAGGAGGUGAGAGUGCAGGCAACAUGUAUGUCACAUCAUGCGAACAGGUGGGGAUCAUGUUAAGUCAAUGCAGAAGGAUGCGUUGUGUGUCCGCGCACCGUCAACACCGCCGAGUAAACAGUAAACUAAACCUGGGGACCAGCGCUCUUGACCUUCCCAGCUACUUCUGGCAUAGGGGGAAUAUUUGAGGAUUUAUAGUGCUGAGAUUAGGGUUNNNNNNNNNNNNNNNNNNNNNNNNNNNNNNNNNNNNNNNNNNNNNNNNNNNNNNNNNNNNNNNNNNNNNNNNNNNNNNNNNNNNNNNNNNNNNNNNNNNNNNNNNNNNNNNNNNNNNNNNNNNNNNNNNNNNNNNNNNNNNNNNNNNNNNNNNNNNNNNNNNNNNNNNNNNNNNNNNNNNNNNNNNNNNNNNNNNNNNNNNNNNNNNNNNNNNNNNNNNNNNNNNNNNNNNNNNNNNNNUCCUCCCGAAGCUUCCUAGGUUUCUUCUGGUCCAAGAAAAAUCAUCGUAAAGUUUUAUUCGUUUGGACUCCGUUUGAUAUUCCUUUUCUGUAAAACUCAAAAACAAGAGAAAAAAACAGAAACUGACACUGGGCUCUGGGUUAAUAAGUUGGUCCCAAAAAUAAUAUAAAAUAACAUAUUAAUGCAUAUAAAUCAUCCAAAAUAGAUAAUAUAAUAGCAUUGAACAACCAAAAAAUAUAGAUACGUUGGAGACGUAUCAGGAUCAUGUUAAGUCGAUGCGAAAGGAUGCAUUGUGUGUUCGCACACUGGAUGCUUGUAUUUAUAUGGCUCUAUCAGCGUCGCCGAAUAAACUAAAUCUGGGGACCGGUGCUCUUGACCUUCCCAACUACUUCGACUGGAAAUCAGAUCCUCCAUGCCAAAUAAGAAAGACCAUUCAGGUCGUGCUGAUUGAGAGGAAAGAGACCACUCACCUCCGACAAUGGCACGUGUGGCUCGCCUGAAGGUCCUUGGGUUGAAUCCACGGUGUUGGGCUAGCGUAGCACCCAUUGGCGGCAAUCAUGGGGCUCCAAGAUGGCGUCACCAUGUAGAUGUCUGGUGUUGUUGGCCAUAGACGGUUUUGUCAAAGGCGACGCAUUAUGGAAAGAUGGAUAGAUGAAAGAGGGGAGGAGAAGAACCUGGAAGACAAUAGAUAUUUAUUGGUGAAGGGGAGAUGAACGGAAUCAUCGGGCGAAGAGGUGAUGGCUCGUGUCCGCAUUAGUAUUUUCCCCGAAGAGGAAGGGAUGAUGCAACACAGCUACGGUAGGUAUUUCCCUCAGUGAUGAGACCAAGGUUAUCGAACCAGUAGGAGAACCAUGCAACACUAUGUAAACGGUACCUGCACACAAAGAACAAAUACUUGCAACCCGACGCGUAAGAGGGUUGUCAAUCCCUCCCGGGUAAAAGAUAGAUUGGUUUCUAGUAGAUUGGAUAAAUAGAUCUCGCGGAAACCCAAAAUAAAAUAAAUAACAAAAAAUUGCAUCAAGGUAUUUUUGGGUUUUUAGAAUAAUAGAUAUCUAUACCUACUAAUAAAAGAAAUAGGUAUUCUUCGUCCGUCAUGCUAUUUUGUAGAAAACCCCCUGAUGUUUCUGACAUUAAACCCGCAGUACAUAUCAAGUGCUUUUUAAAAUACUCAUAAUUUUAAACCAUAACUCCAAAUUUAACAUAUUAUAUAUGGAAUUUAAUUAGAAAAUUAUUUAGAAUCUAAAUAUGAUGUUAUUUUACCUAUUAACAAUUUUUAAAAUAAACUAUCUAGGCUGCAAUGUUAAUCAACAAUGCAUUAUCCGUCUUUUUUUCAUACCGGUAUUGAUUUAGAUUGGGGAUGAAAACCUCAGCAAAAUCAGGAUUGGACAUCAGAUUGAAGAUAAAUUUGUUAGAGACACCGAAUAAAUAAGGACAUGCAUGACAAGAAAUAAAAAGAUCCAAUAAAGAUGGGAUGUCCGCUAUAAAAAUAAAUAAAAGAGAAAAUGCAGAGGAGAUCCGAUAAAGAUGAGAUGUUGCGCUAUUCUCCUAUAUAUAAGAAGAGUAAAAGGAGGACAUGCAUGAAAAAAGGUAAAAAGGAGGCAUGCAUGAAAAAAAUACAAGUUUUAUAAGAAAUAAAUAGUGAUGAAACAGGGACCAAUACCUAUGACAUGUAUGGCAAGAAAUAGUGAUGAAAUAGGGGCACAAGUACCUGAGUCAACAGGAGACCAUAAAAAAUGUUGUUUUCCAGACCAAAAAAACCUAUUUUAUGAUUAAAAAAUCUUGUACCUUUUUAACUCUUCAUGUAUUUAAGAAAUAGCUACAAAUUCUCGGAUUACAAAACAUUUUUUGUAAAUUAAGAGUGUGUGGUACUUUUUUCCCGUUGCAACGCACGGGCCUUUUUGCUAGUGAAAAUAAAAGAGGCAAAUAAUAGAUCGGAAAGCAAAUAUGAUAAAGAAUAGACCCGGUGGCCGUAGAUUUCACUAGUGGCUUCUCUCCAGAAAAAUAGCAUACAGUGGGUAAACAAAUUACUGUUGGGCAAUUGAUAGAACUUCAAAUAAUUAUGACGAUAUCCGGGCAAUGAUCAUUAUAUAGGCAUCAUGUCCUAGAUUAGUAGACCUACUCCUUCCUGCAUCUACUACUAUUACUCCACACAUCGACUGCUAUCCAGCAUGCAUCUAGUGUAUUAAGUUCAUGGAAAAAUGGAGUAAUGCAAUAAGAAUGAUGACAUGAUGUAAACAAGAUCUAUUCAUGUAGGAAUAGACCCCAUCUUGUUAUCCUUAAUGCAACGAUCAAUAUGUGUCUUGCUGCCCCUUCUGUCACUGGGAAAGAACACCGCACGACCGAUCCCAUCACAAAGCACCUCUUCCAUGGCAAGAAAAAUCGAUCUAGUCAACCUAACUAAACAAAAGAUUUGAAGAAGAAUACGAGGCUAUAAGUAAUCAUGUGUCUAAGAGAUCAAAACUCAAAUAACUUUCAUGUAUAAAAUAGAUCUGAUCAUAAACUCAAAGUUCAUCGGAUCCCAACAAACACACCGCAAAAAGAGUUACAUCAAAUAGAUCUCCAAGAGACCAUUGUAUUGAGAAUCAAAAGAGAGAGAGGAAGCCAUCUAGCUACUGCCUACGGACCCAUAGUUCUACAAUGAACUACUCACGCAUCAUCGAAGAGGCACCAAUGAGGAUGAUGAACCCCUCUGUGAUGGUGUCUAGAUUGGAUCUCAUGGUUCCGGAACUUGCGGCAGCUCGAAUUGUGUUUCGUCGACUCCCCUAGGGUUUUUGGAUUUUCGGGGUAUUUAUAGAGCAAAAAGGUUGUGCGGGAGGGCACCGAGGUGGGCACAACCCACCAGGGCACACCUGGGCCCCCAGGCGUGCCCAGGUGGGUUGUGUCCCCUGGGGGCACCCAUCUGGUACUUCUUUGGCCCAAGUUGUUCCGUCUGGUAUAGAAAAAUUCUCCAAAAAGUUUCAUUGCGUUUGGACUCCGUUUGGUAUUGAUUUUCUGCGAAGUAAAUAACAAGCAAAAAAUAACAACUGGCACUGGGCACUAUGUCAAUAGGUUAAUAAAAUGAUAUAAAGUUGCUAUAAAAUGAUUGUAAAAUAUCCAAGAAUGAUAAUAUAACAGCAUGGAACAAGCAAAAAUUAUAGCUAUGUUGGAGACGUAUCAAGAGGCAAUAAGAGGAAGGCGCAGCAAUCAGUUCGACAGUAGUAAAAAAUUACACGAUUCGUUUCGUUGAAAAGGGAAAAAGGAAGCAUUGGUGACGUGGCAGAUUUUCUUACGUGGAUGGCUGCAUGUUGAUUGCUGAUGUGGAUAGGCUACAUGUCAAGAGAAAUAUGGUACUGGGAUGAACUAUUUAGGUAUUAUAGAUGCGCAACAUCACAUCUAAACUCUUUAUGAAAUUACAAAACACGAUGGUUUUUAAAAUGGAUAUAUUUUGGAACCCAAUUUUUUUAAAUUUAUGAAUAAAUUUUUGAAAACUUGAACAAUUUCUUGAGUCUAUGAACAAUUUUUUGAACACGAACUUUUUUUCAAAAUUUCAAAACGCAAUUACUUUUUUAAUGCAACCUUUUUCAAAAUUCAAAAACAUGAUUGUUUGUAAAGUGAAUAUGUUUUUAAAAUUCUAGACUAAAUUUGCAAGUUGAAUAUGUUUUGAGAAACACUCGAAAUUGUGGACGUUUUCUAAAACGUCAAAGAACUUUGAAAAACAUCAAACAUUUUUCAAAGCACGGAUUCUGGGGAAAAAACAAAUUCCGAACAUCUUUUAGAAAUUUUGAAUUUAUGAAAAAAGAAAAAGAAACAGAAAAUGAAAAAGAAAGAAAGCAAGGAAAAGCAGUGAAGAAAUAAAACAGAAAAAGGGAAAAAACCUGAAAAUAGUGGUAAAGACUGAUCCUAGCUACUUGGGCUAGUCCAUCUAUGGUUUACUCGCUGCUCAUUUCGGAGAUUUCUUUUAGGGGUAAAACCAAGUUUUAUACAUCAAACACCAUAGAGUGUGGGAUAGAGUUUGGGUCAUGGCAUUUUCCAAAGCAAACAUUGCGUCCCAGACCUAACGAAAGAGAAAACCUGCCUAGAUUAUGUGCUUCGACAUUUACAGGAUGAUCUUUAGAUAAAAAAAUACAAUGAAAUAAAUACGGUUGCAACUUGAUCUCGUUGAUAAUGGCUCGUUUCCACAUAGUUUGCUCACAUUUUUGAGAGAAAAUUUAGCCUUGAUGGGCUGGGAAAUUGGGCCAGCCAUCCUCGAGUGUGACUGGCUUGACUUUGUCUAGUAUAAAGCCCAUCACGUUGCCCAAGAGCCCACCCUUAUCUAUUUUUCUACAGGACCCACAUAUGUUUGGUUCCUUCAGCACGAUGGGCCACCUCCCAGCCUCCCUCGCCCGCUCGACAGCUCCCCCACCAAUAGAGUUAGGCCCUCGACCCUCCCCCACCCCAAGGUUGCGCGCAUGUCCCUUCCCGACAUCUCUUCCACACGGCCUCGUCCCACCCCAUGUUCUCCCCCAAGUGCUUUGUCGAGUGUCAUGGAAAAAUAUUCUUGGCAAGAUAGUGGAACUCACGCAAAAUGUGCUUUAUCAAGUGCUACACUCGGCAAAAGGGGGUAUGCAGGGAAGCAAAAUCGUGCUUUUUUCCUUCUCGGGAAGCUGCGCUUCCCGUGGAAGGCUUCAUCAAAAACCAGAAAAAAAGAUUUUUUUUUUCAUCAAAACCUAGGGAAAAUAAAAGAAAAAAAACACGUGUAAAAAAUAAAAUCUUAAGGGUGUACCUGCACACGACAUGUGGCCGCAGUUGGGCACAUCACUUGAUGCGCUCUCAGGGCCUCAAAGUAACCUCUGCAGGAACCCUCGACAAGAAACCCAUCAGACAGUUGGAGUCCCCCUUGCGUCAAAUAGGAGUGUGGCCACAAGGGGAGCGCGUCCUGGUCGGCCGGCCCAGUAGCCUGUAGCACUCUACCGCAAAUUUGUCAAAAUCUAAAACAUGACGUUUGAGCAAAGCUCGCAUGGCUAGCCAGUCAAGCUGAUGAAACUUUGCCAACUACUAUGUCGCGUUGAUCAGUAAAAAUUAUGUGCAACAUCACAUAUGAAAAAAAAUUGGAAUUUCAAAACACGAUUGUUUUUAAAAUGAACUAGUAAAGUGGCCCGCUCGAUGUGCGGGCUAGAUUUUUAAGUUUUUUUUAAUAAUAUCAUAUUGUUUGAUUUGGCUAAAGAAAAAUUGGAACCCAAUAUGACGACUUUAUUGUGCGGGCUCAAUCUUUGAAUUGUCUAUUAUGUUUUAUGAUUGAAUUUCUUAUCUGUAGUAAGUCAAUACAUAAUUAUGACGACUUUAUUGUGCGGGCUCAAUCAAUAUUAUUAUUUACUGUUAUUCUUCUUAUUUUUAUUGUUAAAAAAACAAUGUUAAAGUCAACCCAUUUGAAAAAAACUAAUUUAAUGUAAGUAUAGUAUCUAAAGUCCUAGUAUAGUAAUUUCAUUUUAAUUUAAUUUUAUUGUAUUCUUCCAUUUUGAAAAUGUAUUUUUAUUAUGAAUCUAGCACUUUAGUUAAAAUACAAAUAAAACUACUACAUUACUGAUCCCAAAAUUAAACAAAAAUGUGUACAUAAACUUGUCUUUAUCAUCGAUGAAUUACAACCAGAUCAUAUGUUUAAAUAAUGGAUAUUUAUAUUAUUAAUCAACCAAGCAUAGUUCUUUUGAUCUCGUAGAUUGUGAUUUCCCAAUAGUGUCUUGUCUUUUUGUUUAUGUGCAAAUAAUAGUUCACCUAUCAUAUUUUACGAGAAUGGGAAACAAAUAUAAGAAAUAGAACUGAAAGAAUUAUAUGGACGUCUAUUCUUGGAAAAUUGUUUAUGGUGUCACCAUCUCGUUCACGUGUGAGUAUGCAAUCUAAUUUCUAACAUGGCAUUCUUUCAUCCGUGAAGAAAUUUCAAGUUAUCACAACGCGACAUGAGUUCGAUAGAAUAUUAACUCAUUCGAAAAAAAAGAUAUGUACAUACAAAACUAAUGAAGUAACUUCAGUAAAAAUUAAUAUGUUACCCAAGAUUUUGAGGGACUGUGAUUUUGAAGGGGUAUUACAUUUUUGUAAUGUUAACUUGACACAUUGGUGAGAAACACAAUUCGAAUAGAAUACACUAAAGCUGAGAAAACAGAACUUUGUUGAACAAUAAUUAACCGGCUAAGAACUUACAAUGUAUCAUGCCUUUGCUGUUAACAACUAUAUGCAGCAGUAUUUUUUUUAUAUUUAUAAUUAUCACUCAAACUAACUUUUUAGAAAGCAUACUAAUUAGUUAGAUAUUCAGGGAUGCAUUGAUAACAGUAAUCGCUAUCGUCUAGCCUUGCCUCCUGUCUGAUGCACUACAAGCAAAGGAUUCAAAACUACGUUUUCCUGUAAUGUAAAACAAUAAUACUUCAUGGAGAUCAUGUUUGCAUGUGCAUAUGGAAUUCAUCAAUAGUAGGUAGAAAAGUCCUAGCUAGCUUAGCCUAGCUUAGGAUAACGCCCUGGCAUCUAAACUGCUUCAUAUAUGCAAUCCAAUUGUAUGGGUCAAAUAUACAAAACCUGAAGCUCAUGGUCUAGAUGUUUCAUUGAUAAUAUCAUUUCCACCAGACUGGCGACCGAUUAUACAGUAGUCUACCUGUAUUGUUUAACACUGAGAUACCGCAUCAGCCAAAUCAUAGCACCUGAGGUGCCUCUUCUUGUGGACGGUGAGAGCAUAUCUGUAAUAAUCAUCCUUUGUAUAACAUUAUUUAUACCUCCAAAUGUUGCACCACACAUGUUCAUCUUUAGAGUCAAGCCCUAUUGCAGCGCAGGUUGUGCUUGGCCAGCACCUUCGUGAUGAACUUGCCAGUGACCACAGUGCAAGCAACUACCAGUACCCAGGAAGCCUCGACGAAGCCAAUGACGUACUGCUCUAUUUCGCGCCGGUGCCAUGUGGCCCACUUGUUUCCCUGAGCAUGUCGGUAUCGACAAAGGAACGAUAGUCGCUAGAUUAAAGGGAAGUGAGAUGGAAAGACACACUCGAGGAGGAAGAUGUUUAGGACUAUGUAUUUGCAUACUCUUUUGGAUCAAGGACGUGGGAUGUAAGUACGGUGUUUGCCUUUUUUUCUUUCUCUUUUUAGCUUUGAAGGGAUGUGUACAUGUUUUUUUUAUGUCUACAUGCUUGAUUUUUUUCCUCUAGAGGGAUAUGUACUUGUUUGUAUUUUUAAAAGGUUGGGGGAUCAUUCAUUUUGUACGCACUUGUUUUUUUUUCAAAUGUAUGUACGUGCCUGAUGGAUAUGUGUGGGGACGUUCUUUUUUAUAUAUGUGGGAUAUGUACGUGCUUGUAUUUUUAAAAGGCUGGGGAUCAUUCAUUUUGUACGCACUUGUUUUUUUUUCAAAUGUAUAUACGUGCCUGAUGGAUAUGUGUGGGGACGUUCUUUUUUUUCCAUGAUGGAUGAACGAUGUGGGAUGUGUAUUUUUUUAUAUCUGGGGGUACACUCUUUUUUAGUGUCCACCGGGUUAUGAAGAUCUAAGGCCUAUGAUUAUAAAAAGAAGAAAAGAAAAAAAUCACCGAUGAACUAUCGGGUUUCUGGUGGGGAGAUGGACAGGAAAAGAGGAAAAUGCAUUGGUUUGCGUGGUGGAAAAUGUGUGUCACAAAGAAGAAAGGUGGAUUGGGCUUUAGAGACCUUCACAACUUUAAUCUUGCUAUGUUAGCAAAGCAGUGUUGGCGACUUCUUCAAAAUCCGGACUCUUUGUGUGCACGAGUUUUGAGUGCAAAAUACUACCCUAACGGGGACAUCCUAAAAGCGGGACCGAAGAAAGGGUCUUCAUUUACAUGGCAAAGCAUUUUAGCUGGGGUUCAGACUUUCAAAAGGGGCUGCAUAUGGCGAAUUGGUUCUGGCUCACACAUCAAUAUUUGGGAAGAUCCAUGGAUUCCAUCUAGUGAGUCGAGAAAAGUUAUUACCCCUAGAGGAGGAAUUAUGUUAACAAAGGUGGCAGAGAUUAUUGAUCCCCAUACUGGACAGUGGGAUGAGGCAUUGUUGCGUAGUGUGUUUUCACCGGUUGAUCUAGAUAGAAUAUUACAGAUUCCCCUACAUGUUGAGGCAGUUGAAGAUUUUUUAGCCUGGCACUUUACGAGGUCCGGAACCUUCUCUGUCCGCUCGGCAUAUCAGGUGGAGUUUGAUCAUCAGUUUGGACGUCAUUACUCAAACUCGAAUAACCCAGGUACUGCUAACCUUAAUAUGGUUUGGAAAGAUCUGUGGCAACUGCGGCUCCCGGGGAAAAUAAAACAUUUUGGUUGGAAAGUCCUAAAGGGGGUCUUGCCGUGCCUCGGUGUUCUGGCAGGUAGGCAUAUACCCUUGGUUCCGCAAUGUCCGCUUUGCAAGAUCGGAUUAGAGGACGUACAACACUGCCUUUUUACAUGCGCACGGGCAUCUGAUGUUUGGUCUGAGUUAGGAUUGCAGAAUGAUAUUAUAAAAGCCAUGCGGCAAGAUCGAUCUGGUUCUAUAACUUUGGAAAUUCUGGUCCGCAUGCGUACCAUGAUUCAUGAGCUGCCAAUGGCUGAACUCAUCUUGGUUGCGAUGUGGUUUAUCUGGUGGCAGAGGCGCCAAGUAACUAAUGGGGAAUCAGUCCAGACACGGGAACAAACAUCAAUAUCUAUCCGAGUUUUAGCCACCAACUUCGUACGAGCCUACACACCAAAUCAGCCGGUACGUACGAUCAGUCAUCAGUGGAAGAAGCCAUUGGAGGGAGCGGUAAAAGUUAAUGUCAAUGCGUCAUUCCAUGCGGACAAUUUUUCAGGAGCCUGCGGCGCUAUUGCUCGUGAUGAUCGAGGCAAUUUCUUGGCUGCAACUACUUGUGCAAUACCGCAUGUGUCUAGUGCAACCUCUGCGGAAUUGUUAGCUAUCAGGUGUGGUCUGAUCCUUGCAGUGAAUCUUGGAUGCACUAAGCUUAUUUUGGAGUCUGACUGUACGAUUGCUUUGGAGGCUAUAUCUGACCCAAACGCAUACAUGGGAACUGAUGUUCCAAUAGUAGUAGAAUGCUCUCUUAUGGCAGUGAAAUUUAAAAGCAUCAGUUUUACUCAUUGUAGCAGAGAAGCGAAUAUGGUAGCGGAUGGCUUAGCAAAGCAUAGCUUUAGUCAUAGCAAGUCUGAAACUUGGGACGUUGUCCCGGACUUUAUUCUGCAUUCUUAUGUAAAUGAUCUUGCUCUUAUUUGAUGAAUAAAGUUUUAAUGCUCAAAAAAAAAGAUCUAAGGCCUAUGAUUUAUUAGUACAGAGAAGUUCUAUUAAAUCAACCAUCGGAUACUUCUGAUUUUUAUAGAAUUUUUGAUCAUAUUUCUCUUUGUUGGUUAACCUGCUAUUUACUUUUAAUAUAUAGUAGAUACUAUAUAUGCAGUACGUGACCAUGUAUGAGUUUGUGAGGGAUUCUCUAUAUACACAUAUGUGCGUUUGUUUUUUCCUUAUGGAAUAGAUGUGCAUGCACAUGCUUUCCAAUUAACAUGGUAGGCUUGCCAAAAAAAAUUUAACGUGAUUCCUCACGCAACAUCUUUUUUUAUAGAAGAGCUCUGACAACCGAAUAAUCCAGGCUUUUUUUCUAGAUUGGAAAAUAUCUACGUGGGACAUGUGCCACGUAAAUCCUUAGAGGCCCAUCAUAUUAUAUAUGUUACGUAAAUUGAACGGUCACGUAAUCUUAAUUUUAAGAGAUUUACCGGAUCGAGGGUUGAUAUUUUCUAAUUAAUGUGGAAUUUUCUAACCUAUUUCUCUCCCUUCUGGUUCACCGUAUAUUACUUUUAGUAUAUAAACAAGAUGAUUUUUGGAACAUGGACUUUUUCCAAAUUUAUGAAUAAAAUUUGAAAACUAGAGCAAUUUUUGACUAUAUCAAGGUUUUUUUAAACACAAACUUUUUUUGAAAUUUUAAAACACGAUUAUUAUUUUAAUGCAACCUUUCUUAGAUUUCAAAACACGUUUUUAAUGAAUAUUUUCUUAAACCCAACCAAAAGUUGAAAACUUGAACAUUUUCAAAAACACUCGGAAGUGUGGACAUUUUCUAAAAAACGUGAAAGGAUUUAGGAAAACUUCAAACUUUUUCAAAGCACGAAUAAUUUUUGGGAAAAAUGAAACAAAAUAAAAUUCCGAACAGUUUUUGAACAUUUUUUUAGAAAUGUUGAAUUUAUGAAAAAAAGGAUAAAUUAUGAAAGAAAGGAAAAUCGGUGAAGAAGAAAACAACAGAAGGAAAAAAACUAAAAAAUAGUGUAAGAAAAAAAAACUAAUCCUAGCUACUUGGGAUGGUACAUAUGCGGUUUGCUCACUGCACAUUUCCUAAAAUUUUUUAGGGGUAAAAGCAAGUUUUAAUCAUCAAACACCAUAGAGUGUGGGAUAGAUUUGGGGUCGUGGCAUUGGUUAAACCCAAUGCGGCGUCCCAAACCUAACGAAAGAGAAAGACUGGCUAGACUAUGUGCUUCGACAUUGAUAGCAUGACCUUUACAAGAAAAAUUACUAUCAAAUAAAGAUGGUUGCAACUUAAUCUGGUUGAUAAUGGCUCGUUUCCCACAUAGUUUGCUCACAGUUUUUGAGAGAAAAUUUAGCCUUGAUGGGCUGGGAAAUCGGGCCAACCAAUCUCAAGUGCGACCGAUUCAUCUUUGUCCACUAGAAAGCCUGCCACGUUGCCCAAGAGCCAACCCUUAUCUUUUUUUUACAGGACCCGUAUAUGUUUUAUUGCUCCAGCAAGACCGGUCGCCGCCAAGCCUCUCUCGCCCGCUCAACAGCUCCCCCCGCCGCCGGGGCUAAGCCCUGGAUCCCCCCACCCCCAGGUUGCGAGCUUGUCCCAUCCCUCCCUCUCUUCUGCGUACCCUCGCCCCACCUCGUCUUCUCCCCCACCGGUGCUUUGCCUAGUUUCUUGGAAAAAACUCUCGAUAAAAUAUUGGAACUCUGGCAAAAUGUGCUUUCCUGAUUGCUACACUCGGCAAAAGGGGGUAUGCAUUGCACUGUUUUGGUUGUCCAUAUUGCAUACGACCUCGGAUGAAGAUGAUCCCAAAAUCAAAGUUUAUCAUUUUGACAAGAUGAUUAAUUUUCAUGUUCAGAACUUUUCCAUUUUAAGCCAUGUUAUUUACACUUUUGACAAUGCCAAAAUAUGGUCUCAAAUGAAUAUGGCGGUGGUCAUAUUUAUUGCAUAGUUUCUGACAAUGGGCCUAAAGUUGGCAUUUUGUUGCAUCUCGCCAUUACAAACAAUGAUGCCAAAUAGAGUUUCCAACAUUUUGUACAAAACUAAUUUUCCCAUUUUCUAAGUGUAAAAAAAUGGAUAUUUUGUGAAGCGGGUAAAAAAACAUAGUGCAAAAUGGCACCACCCCAAUUUACAUAAAAAGUAGACCACAUGUUUUAGAAAAUUCCCAGGUUUUGUGGAUCUUCUUAAUUUCUAGCUACUUUCGCACAGUUAAAUUCAAAUUUGAACUUUAAGUCUGUGAUAGCUUUGUCCUAAAAAUUAGCAAAAAUGUAAUCUAUUUUUUUAGGUGUGCAAGUAGUCAUUUUAUGAAAUCACCACUUAAGUUUGAGAGAUUCAGGCCCUUGCCAUGACUAUCCAUGCCGGGCAUUUUGACCCCGUUUUGGAAAAAUGAAACAAAAAGGAUACAAGUUCAAAAAAAUGCAAUCCAUUCGUAUGGACUCCUUUUAUGUGUACUAGCUAGGACGAAAAUACCAAACUUCAAUAUGAAAACUUUGAAAGAAAAAUAUCCAUCACAAAACGGGCUAUCAUGUAUGAACCUUCACGGCUUUCAAGUCAAACGACCAAGGUGACGACAAUAUCCAUUCCAUAGUUUAUUAUAUUAUGCCGAAAUUAGACAUAUAGGUGAAUCAUGCCAUUGCAAAUAAUGUUGUAAAAUAGAGUUUCCAACUUUUUGUACAAAAAAUCAUUUACUAUUUUCUAAGUAUCAAAAAUGGGUGUUUCUUGUGAAGUGGGUUCAAAAAAUAGAGUGGAAAAUGGCACCACUCCAAUUUUCACAAAAAGUAGACCAUAUUAGAUGGACAAUUCCCAAGUUUUGUAGAUGUCUAGCUAAAAACUAACAAUUGGUGUAUUUUUUUAAUAUUUAAUGAAAAUAAAAAAAUGGGAAGGGCGGAUACUUAAUGGAUAACAUGGACAUCUGAGGGUGUACCUUUAAGUGUUGGAGAUGCCUUUAUGUGCUGGUUUAUGUCGUGCUCAACCUGCAAUGUACUAGAGUUAAUCAUGUUGGGUAACGGUGCAUGGAAAAACAAAAAAAUAUCUACGCACACGUAAUGAUCUAUCCAUGGAGAUGCAUAGCAACGAGGGGGAGAGUGUGUCUACGUACCCCCAUAGACCAAAAGCGGAAGCGUUUGACAAUGCGGUUGAUGUAGUCAAACUUCUUCUAGCUCCGACCGAUCAAGCACCGAACGUACGGCACCUCCGAGUUCUGCACAUGUUUAGCUCGGUGAUGUCUCUCGUCUUCUUGAUGAGUUCCGUCAGCACGACAGCGUGGUGACGAUGAUGGUGAAGUGAUCCAUGUAGGGCUUCGCUUAAGCACCGCGAGAAUAUGACCGGGGGUGUAAACUGUGGAGGGGGGCGCCGCACACGGCUAACAAUUGAUGUUGUGUGUUCUAGGCGCCCCCUUCCCCACAUAUAUAUAGGUGGGAGGGGAGGGGAGGCAGCAAGGGGGCACCCCAAGUAGGAUCUGAAUCCUACUUGGGGUUUCCCCAAGUGACGCCCCCCCCCUUCCUUUUUUCCACCGGAGAAGAAAGGAAGGGGGAAGAAGAGAAGCAAGGGGGGCUGAACCCCCUCUUCUCCUUCUCCUAUUUGGCCACUUGCCAUAGGGGAGGCGCGCCACCCCUUGUGNNNNNNNNNNNNNNNNNNNNNNNNNNNNNNNNNNNNNNNNNNNNNNNNNNNNNNNNNNNNNNNNNNNNNNNNNNNNNNNNNNNNNNNNNNNNNNNNNNNNNNNNNNNNNNNNNNNNNNNNNNNNNNNNNNNNNNNNNNNNNNNNNNNNNNNNNNNNNNNNNNNNNNNNNNNNNNNNNNNNNNNNNNNNNNNNNNNNNNNNNNNNNNNNNNNNNNNNNNNNNNNNNNNNNNNNNNNNNNNNNNNNNNNNNNNNNNNNNNNNNNNNNNNNNNNNNNNNNNNNNNNNNNNNNNNNNNNNNNNNAUUCGAGAACACUUCCGGUGUCCGAAUACUAUCAUCCUAUAUAUCAAUCUUUACCUCUCGACCAUUUCGAGAUUCCUCGGCAUGUCCAUGAUCUUAUCCGGGACUCGAAACAACAUUCGGUCACCAUAUCACAUAACUCAUAUAAUACAAUAUCAUUAUCGAACGUUAAGCGUGCGGACCCUACGGGUUCGAGAACUAUGUAGACAUGACCGAGACACCUCUCCGGUCAAUAACCAAUAGCGGAACCUGGAUGCUCAUAUUGGAUCCUACAUAUUCUACGAAUAUCUUUAUCGGUCGAACCGUUAUGACAACAUACAUUAUUCCCUUUGUCUAUCGGUAUGUUACUUACCCGAGAUUCGAUCAUCGGUAUCUGCAUACCUAGUUCAAUAUCAUUAUUUGUAAGUCUCUUUACUCGUUUGUAAUACAUCACCUUACUAACGGAUGGGUCUUGUCCAUCACAUCAUUCUUCUAAUGAUGUGAUCCCGUUAUCAAAUGACACCUCAUGUCCAUGGUUAGGAAACCUUAACUAUCUUUGAUCAACGAGCUAGUCAAGUAGAGGCUCACUAGGGACAUAGUGUUUGUCUAUGUAUUCACACACGUAUUAAGGUUUCCGAUCAAUACAAUUCUAGCAUGAAUAAUAAACAUUUAUCAUGAAUAAGGAAAUAUAAAAUAAGAACUUUAUUAUAUCCUCUAGGGCAUAUUUCCUUCAAAUCAGUAUAUGUGUGCAUGCUUGGUUGUUAGUGAAAUGUUUUAUGUAUAUGUGUACAUGCUUGGUUGGGCCAACUUUGUGUAUUACAUUUUGUGAAAUACAAACUUGAUAUACGCCACAUUUGUGUUAACGACCAAUAAGUAUAUACAUAACUAUAUUUUGCCUUCUUUUUCCUCCUCCACAAGAAAAGGUCCCGCGCUUUUCUCCUCCUCCAAUUGGCGCCAUAGCUGGUCCGCCCCAUCUUUGAUGGCCUUUGGGCCCUUUAGUACCGUACCGAACCAGCAGCCUUCGCGCCAAGCGACGACCGCCCUUGUCCCUUUCCUUUUUCCAUUCAGCCUACUUCUUAGCUUUGUUCCGUUAGUCUAAGGCAAAGCUUAAGUGGUUUACCUACCUUACCCACUUGAUGAAAGGGAACGGACUUCAUUUCCUUGGCGGCUUUAUGGAUGGAUUCAGUAAGAAAAAUUCCUUCCUUUUGAAAAAAGUGACACCACGAAGGUGAGUAGGACCUCAGGCCCUCGCUGGCGGGAGGGAACCCGUUCUCAUUCUUUUUUGGUUCAAUGUCUUGCUGGAGCUGUGUUGCGGCUAUGAUGUCUCUCAGUAGGAAUAAUGUUUCACAUGUUCUAUCCCUGUCUCGAUGGUGCCUCUAGCAUUAUCAUAGGGCAUGUGGAGGUGUGUCUCUAUCGGAUUUCGCAGGAUUCGGUCGGCAUUGGUCUUCGGUGGAUCUGUUUGGACACGGUCUAUGUUCAUCUUUGUGGUGUUUAUACUAUUGAUCCUUCCGAUCUAUGACUUUCUUCAUCGACGAUGGUUGCUGCUUCGGUGCGCUGGUCCUAUGGGUCCUUAGCACGACAACUUCCUGACUAUUGACUACAACAAGGUUUGCCCGGCUCCAGCGAUCGGGGGGGGGGGGUGAUGGCGAUGCACAGCUUUCUUUAGUGCUUGUAGUCAUCGCUAGGUGGUCCAUGGACCUGGUUGUAAUUUUUUGUAUCUCUGGUGUUCUUUGUACUGCCAUGAUUGAAGAUGAAUAGAUUGGAAGUUUCUCACGCAAAAAUAACUAUAUAAAUAACUAUUUUAGCAAAAUUCGCAAAAAAACUAUUUUAGCAAGUAAUAAAUUUUGACACCAAUUAUAUGGUAGUAAUUAAUAUUUCCCCUAAUAAUAUCCGCAUUGGGUCCAGGUUUUAUACUAUGUAUACAGACGGGAGUAUGUUUGGAUAAUUGUGUGAACACAAGGAUAUAUCUUAGCAAAACUAUUUUUAGCAACAAGUAAAUGAAUUAAUAUAUGCUAGCUAUACUCUGCUGGUGAAAACAUGGUUUAUUAGUUGUACAAAGCAUGCAACACGGUUUCACUCCCCUUUAUAUUCAUGGGCGGAACACAAUUUCAGAUCCAAGUUUUAUGUUUGUCUACACACUCCCAUCUUCUUCCCAUAUCAGCAGGAAAAUUCACUCCAAUCAUCUCGCCAUUCUACACUUGGGAAAUCAGGUUUGCUUCAAUCUACCAUCCUUGAAUAUAUGCCCCACAUCUUGUUUCUGCGUCCUAAUCUUAUUAAGCUUGUAAUUAGUAGUUAGUGCAAGAUCAAAAAGGAGCUAUGGGCAAAACACCAUCCGCACCUGCUGAUUUAAUCACCAUAGGACAAGCGGCGCCUAAUCAUGAAAUAGCAGGAGAUUCAAGUGACAGUGAGAGAACAAUCAGUGAGGGUUAUGUGGGGAUCAUGUAUGGUGGUAGCCAAACCCACGAUAGCAACCUGGAAGGAGAAUCUGACAUGGUAUUGCUAGCAACAGAUUCAAGUGACAGCGAGAGAACAAUCAGUGAGGGUUAUGUCGGGAUCCUGUAUGGUGGUAGCCAAAUCCAGGAUGGAGACCUGGAGGGAGAAUCGGCUAUGGUAUUGCCUGCUGUAGGAGAGAAUACCACGGCGAGAUCUAACAGUCAUGGUCAUACGCGUAGCUUGGAAAUUGAUUCUACCUCUUGUACUGGGAGGCAUGCUGCCAGGUCAGAUUUUGUUCUAGUGGCACAACGCCGAGACUGCAUACAAAUUUACCCUGAGUGGCUGGAGAAAAUUGAUUCAGGCAAAAAGAUGUGGAUAGCUCUCAAAAAAUUUCGAGCAAAUGGGAAGCAUGAAGAGGUUAGUAUAUACACAUGUUCUGGUGUGCUCUCUCAUCAAAUAAUUUUCAUUGUGGGUUAAUCAUCUCAUAACAUAAGGAGUGUUUGCUUGAUGGGCAUUCAGACCAAAUGAUGAACGAAUUAGAUCCUAGGUUCUCCAAAAGAUGACAUUGUGUUUUGCUUCCGUUACCUCAUAGAUUUUCAGCCUUUGCGUCAAAAUGAUUUUAUGCAUUUGUUUUCGCACUAACUUGUAUUUUUUUAAGCACAACCAUCCAUAUAUGUAAAAAAAACUCAUGGCCACUUGUGCGAUUGAUAGAAAUCAGUUAACAUCUCAAUUUCCUCAUGUGCUAUUGUAUGACUAUGGAGGUUUUUCUAACAUGAUCCUUCUUACCUCCCCUUUUCACAUGAGACGUAAGAGUAUAAAGUAAAUCUGAGUCAUUGACUGCAUUAAGUAGUGGGCUUGACUAAAUCUUACCUUCUUAACUCCCAUGUGAAAAGAUGGGGUAAGAGGAAGCAUGUUAAAAUGGCUCAUGAACGGUGCUGCCGCCAGUGGCAGAGCUUGAGCAUAAUCCAAGAGGGCCAUUACUUGAAGGGGGGGAAAUUAGAAGGGAAGGAGGGGAAAAUAUCUAGUUUAAACACUAGUUAGGCUUAAAAUAUAGUAUAUUCAUUGAUGGGUGCAAAAAUUAAGGGGGGCCAUGGCCCCUGUUGGUCUACAUGAAGCUCCGCCACUUGCUGCCGCACAUUCUACAGUAUUGUUAUAGACACUGACUGACUCUUAUUUUUGCACUAUAUCCAAAUGUACUAGCAGUCAUAAGACACCAAUCUGUCAGGAUCUCGGCUUUUGGCCUUCUGCUAGGAUGCACUAAAGAUAUUGAUAAGUCUCGCCAUUCCUGGAUGUUGUGAAGGUUACCUGACUGGAACAGAUUGUUCUGGAGAAGGAUAUGGAGGCGCGGCAAACCUAAAGCAACGAUGAUGCAACAAAUGGAAUGUGAUCGAGAAUGGUAUUAUCUACAUGUGCACACCAGAGAGCAUACAAAUUAGGGUCUGCAUGGACGACCAAAACACAUGGCAUUUUUUAUCAACUAGACCAUCCUUUUUUCUUUGAUCUACUAACAUUGGUUGCCAUUUCGGGCUUUUGGGCCGACCUUCGGGCGAGAAAUUGAAGCCCAAGCCUACCCCAGAUGUCGGGCUUUGGGCUCAGGCCUCUGGGCCGGGUAGUCCAUGAACAGGUUUAGUUUGAUCUAUUCACUCACAUUUUGAUCCUCAUUCAUUAUAGCAUUUAACCAUAAUUCAUAUGAACAUGCACCACGAGAAUAUAAUAAAGGAAAUGCAUGGGCUAAUUUGUAGUACACAACGCCUUAUUGUGCGGUAUCACAAGAACAUUUUUCUCCUUGAUUACAAUAGUAACUACUAUGCAAUCUUAUAUAUCAAAUCAUAUAUUAUAUGACAAAUUAAGUAUAUUGUUUUGCUUAUUUCAGUAUUACCUUCAUAAGGAAUAUAGUCACAAGUUUUGCUCCAAACGCAACGUUAUUGAGUUCAUACGAAAUGGAACUGUGAAAGGGAAGUCGGUUCAGAAGGUGCCUAAAUACUUGACUUUCAAACAUAUAGUAAUUAUGCGAAGAUGUAUAUGUUUUUUGUAUUAACUUUAAAGUAUUAAUUUGACACGGUAUCCUAUUUUUGCACAGAGAUCAUCUGAUACUUCUAUGAACAAUCUUCAGGGUAUGUCCAGUUGGCCCCAUGCAUUUGGAUAUUAUUUUGUAUACUAUUAUUACUAUACAGAGAUAUCUAACUGAAACUGAAAUAUAAUAAAUAUUCAUGGAGAGAAAAAUAGACAUUAAUGUCCACAUACACAACAAAAUUAACCAGUACUGUCCUAGUUUACAUGAAUUAAUAUUUUCAAUGACAAUUAGGUUACUCAUGACAUGAUAAAGAAAAAAAAUGUGAGGUAAGAUAAGGUUUUCUAUAAUUUUUCAUGGGGACCUCCUCAUGGUUGCAGAUACAUAGUUUUACAGUGCUUCAUGAAAUAGUUGCAUAUCAUCAUGUCUAAAAGAAUCAUGACGGACACAACUUCAAGAAAUUCUUCUUGUAAAAUAACAUGAUUUGUAUAUACCUCAUAAAGGAUGUAACUUGUUGGUAGCAUUUAAUAUUGUGACACACUCGCCAUCUUUUGUGCCAGCAUUAUUUGGGUGAUGAUUUAAUAUCCAAAAGCAUACAUCAAGGUAGUUAUGUGCAAUGAUAUUCUUGUGAAAAUAACUUCCAUAGUGUAUACUUGCAUAUAUGUAUUGCUCUAUUGUAUUCUCACAGUUAAUCCUUUUUCUUAAUUUUUUGUUUGUUUAUUUAUGUUUAGAGCAAGAUUAUAAAUUAAGCUGAGCAUAAUUUCUGCAGAUUAUAGAUGGCCCACUGAAAGACAAAGGGCGAAGGCGCAAACUUCAAAUAAUUCUUCUUGCCACAUAGGUUUUUCUAAUUGUGCGAGCAUACCACUUGUAACUGCCUUCAGUCAUCUAUGUCAGUAGUAUUUUGAGAAGAAUUUCAUUACAAAAUGCAAUGACUCAAACAAUCAGAUUGUUCAUGAUGAUUCCUAAUUGUAUAACCAAUAAGCUUAACGCACCUUCCUAUUUUAGAGUUGUUAUGUUAAUAAGUAUAUACUAUCUGUUAUUAAUGUUGUUAAUGGGUGAAGAACAUUUGUUGCUCAUGGUUAGAAUGUAGAAUUUUCUUAAUACAACAACCUAGAGCGAAUGUGGAGGCCAAUAUAGAUUGAAACCAUUAAUUCAUAUUAAAAUGGUCAUGACUUCUUAUUUUUAUUUGACAUAAAUGUUUGUGACUUGUUUGAAUUAAUGUGUUCUGCAAUUAUAUGAUACUUGCGUAUUCAUACUAUUUUUAUGAAUUGUGCAGCUAGUUUGUCGACAGGAGCACGAACAACCACAACUUCUACAAAGCUUCCACAUGGUUUCAUCUAGUAUCAUGCAAAAGACAUUGAGACAAUCAAGAUUACUUGAGCAACCUGAAUUAUGUUAGUUGUUACCUGCUUUCAAACGAAUGUGUCCUCUCAUAGUAUGCAUGUACUUCUGUUGUUGAGGAAUUUAUAUCAUUAGACAGUUCUGUUUUUCAUAAUUAUUGAUUAAUGGGUACAUACCUUCAAUCCUGGAAGAUUAUCAGAUAGCCAGUCAAGGAAGCAAUUUAUUUAUUGAAUUGUGCAUAAUAGGAACAUUUUUACAUUCAAAGGAACAUCAUAGGAAUAAUUUGGUAUUUCGAGAAGAUUUUCCAGUCCCCUGCCCCAACCUACUGGAGACAGUAUGAGUGGUGACAGACACAUUUGUAACAUACGAGCAAGCUAGUGCAGCAGCUUCAGUCACAUGCUCUGGAAGCCCAUUUUGGGUCUUCCUUCAGAAGGCUCAACAAGGCCAUCAUCACACCAUUCUAGUUAGUUACUUCUGCAACGAUAUAUGUCCUUAAGAAAAUAAGAAGCUAGGGUUCUAGUAGACUUAUAAUGCUCUAGCAGCACCACGUUGGAUAUGCUCGCACAAAUAAAAUAACAUGAAUCGAGUCUAUAUGUAAGCACAUAUCUUGUCACCAGUCAACUACUAGUACAGUAAGAGCAUCAAAGAGGAAUUCAUUUCAUAUAGAAUAGUCGCAAUCAUAUACUUCUGUUCUGCACAUACUGCUCAUUAUCAUGGACAAUGAUGUAGCUAGAUAAAAGGGAGCAUGUGGCAAUAAUGUAAGCAGGGAGGCUCCAGGGAAGAGCUCAACAGACAGAACUAACCUGCUCUUGCAAGGAACCAGUAAGCCUUGCUACAUUGUCACCUUCAUGCUGCAUGGCAUCGUGUCCACCAGCUAUUGUGGUAUGUCGCAAAUCUUUCCUCUCAUCUUUUCACCGAAAGCGAUCGUUGGCGAAUUCUAAUCUUUCUGGAACAACAUUCCUAAUUCCCUGCACUAGAAGGUCAUCAUGAUGCAUCGGUACAUCGGAAUUCCGGCCACAUUAACAAAAUCUUUGCCCAAACCAAAUUAAGGUAGAAAUGAGAAAUGAAGGAGAGCACCAAAUAGUAAGUUAGGUUACACACAUAUAUAUAGAAAUGCCGUUCAUAGUAAAAACAACAGGAAGUGUAUCCAUGUUGUUUGCUUAGGUGGCUGAAACCAAGGUCCUAUUCACUGGGAUGAUAAACCUACUAAAUAAAAGGGUUCUCAAAGUCCCCUCAGAACUAGAGUCGAGUAACACAGUCAUGAUCCCAUGGGGUUUCAGGAUAACGACAUGCAAAUGUGGUUAACACAAUCAGCUCUCUCAUUAAGAUUUGUCUUAUUUUUUAUCACUACAGGAAAAUUCAUGUUUGCCGAGUGUCAGUGUCUUUGCUGAGUGCAUUUUGUUGGGCACUCAGCAAACAUAUCUUUGCCGAGUGUAAUCCUGAAACACGGUAAACAGGUGCUUUGCCGACUGUCGUGGAAAAAACACUGGCAAAAAAGUUAUAGUUGCUAAAAUGUGCUUUGUUGAGUGUCUUGGAAAUAACUCUCAGCAAAAUAGUGGAACUCAGGCAAAGAUGUGCUUUCUCGAGUGCUACACUCGGCAAAAGGGGGUAUGCACUGCGCUCACUGUUUUGGCCGUCGAGAUUGCAUACAACCUCGGAUGAAGAUGAUCCAAAAAUCAAAGUUUUACAUUUCGACGUGAUGAAUAAUUUUCAUGUUGAGGACCUUUUCCUUUUAGACCAUAUUAUUUACACUUAUUGCCAUGCCAAAGUAUGGUCUCAAAUGAAUAAGGCGGUGGUCAUAUUUAUUGCAAUUUACGACUAUGGGCCUAACCUUGGCAUUUAUGUGCAUCUGGCCAUUACAAACAAUGUUGCCAAAUAGAGUUUCCAACAUUUCGUACAAAGAUAAUUUUUCUAUUUUUGAAGUGUAAAAAAUUGAUACUUUUGUGAAGCUGGUACAAAAAUCGAGUGCAAAAUGGCAUCACUCCAAUUUUCACAAAAAUAGACCAUAUUUUUUGGAAAAUUCCCAUUUUUUGUGGAUUUUCUAGAUUUCUAGCUACUUUCACACAUUUAAAUGACUUUAUUAUGAUUCCGCAAAAUUAAUUCAAUUUGAACUGUAAUUGUGUGAUAGCUCUAUCCUACAAAUUUGCAAAAAUAUACUUUUAGGUACACAAGUAGUCAUUACAUGGAAACCCCACUUAGAGUUUGAGAGAUUCAACCCCUUGACAUGAAUAGACAUGCCGGCCACUUUCACCCCGUUUUGGAAAAAAUGAAACAAGAAGGAUACAAGUUCAAAAAAUGCAAUCCUUUCAUAUGGACUCCUUUUAUGUGUACUAGUGUAGAUGAAAAUACCAAACUUUCAAUAUGACAGUUUUGAAAGAAAAAUAUCCUGCACAAAUGGGCUAUCCUCUAUGAACAUUCAUGGCUUUCAAGUCAAAUGACCAAGGUGAUGACCAUAUUCAUUGCAUAGUUUAUUAUAAUGUGCCCAAAUUAGACAUAUAGGUGAACCUUGCCAUUACAAAUAAUGUUGCAAAAUAGGGUUGAAGGAAAUAUGCCCUAGAGGCAAUAAUAAAGUUAUUAUUUAUUUCCUUAUUUCAUGAUAAAUGUUUAUUAUUCAUGCUAGAAUUGUAUUAACCGGCAACAUAAUACAUGUGUGAAUACAUAGACAAACAUAGUGUCACUAGUAUGCCUCUACUUGACUAGCUCGUGAAUCAAAUAUGGUUAAGUUUCCUAGCCAUGGACAAAAGAGUUGUCAUUUGAUUAACGGGAUCACAUCAUUAGGAGAAUGAUGUGAUUGACUUGACCCAUUCCGUUAGCUUAGCACUUGAUCGUUUAGUAUGUUGCUAUUGCUUUCUUCAUGACUUAUACAAAGUUCCUACAACUAUGAGAUUGUGCAACUCCCGCUUACCGGAGGAACACUUUGUGUGCUACCAAACGUCACAACGUAACUGGGUGAUUAUAAAGGUGCUCUACAGGUGUCUCCAAAGGUACAUGUUGAGUUGGCAUAAUUCGAGAUUAGGUUUUGUCACUCCGAUUGUCGGAGAGGUAUCUCUGGGCCCUCUCGGUAAUACACAUUACUUAAGCCUUGCAAGCAUUGCAACUAAUGAGUUAGUUGUGGGAUGAUGUAUUACGGAACGAGUAAAGAGACUUGCCGGCAACGAGAUUGAACUAGGUAAUCGAUACCGACGAUCGAAUCUCGGGCAAGUAACAUACCGAUGACAAAGGGAACAACGUAUGUUGUUAUGCGGUUUGACCGAUAAAGAUCUUCGUAGAAUAUGUAGGAACCAAUAUGAACAUCCAGGUUCCGCUAUUGGUUAUUGACCGAGAAUAGUUCUAUGUCAUGUCUACAUAGUUCUCGAACCCGUAGGGUCCGCACGCUUAACGUUACAAUGACAGUUUUAUUAUGAGUUUAUAAGUUUUGAUGUACCGAAGGUUGUUCGGAGUACCAGAGGAGUCUCGAAAUGGUCGAGACACAAAGAUUGAUAUAUUGUACGGAUAUAUUUGGACACCGGAAAGGUUCCGGAUGAGAUUGGGACUAUACCGGAGUUUCGGGAGGUUACCGGAACCCCCCGGUAAGUAUAUGGGCCUUAUUGGGCCUUAGUGGAAGGGAGGGAGAAGGAUCAAAGGAGGGGGUGCCCCCCCCCAAGCCCAAUCCGAAUUGGGAGGGGGGCCGGCCCCCCCUUUCCUUCUUCCCUCCCCUCUCUUCCUUCCCUCUCCUACUCCUAAUAGGAAAGGGGGGCCAAACCUACUUGGAGUAGGUUUGCCCCCCUAGGGCGCGCCUCCCCUCUUGGUCGGCCCCCUCCUCCUCUCCCCCUUUAUAUACGGAGGAGGGGGCACCCCAUAGACACACAAGUUGAUCUACGGAUCAUUCCUUAGCCGUGUGCGGUGCCCCCCUCCACCAUAUUCCACCUCAGUCAUAUCGUCGCAGAGUUUAGGCGAAGCCCUGCGCCGGUAGAACAUCAUCAUCGUCACUACACCGUCGUGCUGACGGAACUCAUCCCCGACGCUUUGCUGGAUUGGAGCCGGGGAACAUCAUCGAGCUGAACGUGUGCUGAACACGGAGGUACCGUACGUUCGGUGCUUGAAUCGGUCGAGUCGUGAAGACGUACGACUACAUCAACCGCGUUCUGAUAACGCUUCUGCUUACGGUCUACGAGGGUACGUGGACAAUACUCUCCUCUCUCGUUGCUAUGCCAUCACCAUGAUCUUGCAUGUGCGUAGGACAUUUUUUGAAAUUACUACGUUACUCAACAGUGGCAUCCGAGCCUAGGUUUUAUGCGUUAAUGUUAUAUGCACGAUUAGAACACAAGUGAGUUGUGGGCGAUACAAGUCAUACUGCUUACCAGCAUGUCAUACUUUGGUUCGGCGGUAUUGUUGGAUGAAGCGGCCCAGACCGACAUUACGCGUACACUUACGCGAGACUGGUUUUACCGCCGUGCUUUGCACACAGGUGACUAGCGGGUGUCAGUUUCUCCAACUUUAGUUGAACCGAGUGUGGCUGCGCCCGGUCCUUGUGAAGGUUAAAACAGCACCAACUUGACAAACUAUCGUUGUGGUUUUGAUGCGUAGGUAAGAACGAUUCUUGCUCAGCCCGUAGCAGCCACGUAAAACUUGCAACAACAAAGUAGAGGACGUCUAACUUGUUUUUGCAGGGCAUGUUGUGAUGUGAUAUGGCCAAGACGUGAUGCUAUAUUUUAUUGUAUGAAGUGAUCAUGUUUUGUAACCGAAGUUAUCGGCAACUGGCAGGAGCCAUAUGGUUGUCGCUUUAUUGUAUGAAAUGCAAACGCCCUGUAAUUGCUUUACUUUAUCACUAAGUGGUAGCGAUAGUCGUAGAAGCAAUAGAUGGCGUAAACGACAAUGAUGCUACGAUGGAGAUCAAGGUGUCGCGCCGGUGACGAUGGUGAUCACGAUGGUGCUUCGGAGAUGGAGAUCACAAGCACAAGAUAAUGAUGGCCAUAUCAUAUCACUUAUAUUGAUUGCAUGUGAUGUUUAUCCUUUAUGCAUCUUAUCUUGCUUUGAUUGACGGUAGCAUUUUAAGAUGAUCACUCACUAAAAAUUAUCAAGAAGUGUUCUCCCUGAGUAUGCACCGUUGCCAAAGUUCGUCGUGCCCAGACACCACGUGAUGAUCGGGUGUGAUAAGCUCUACGUCCAUCUACAAUGGGUGCAAGCCAGUUUUGCACACGCGGAAUACUCAGGUUAAACUUGACGAGCCUAGCAUAUGCAGAUUGGCCUCGGAACACGGAGACCGAAAGGUCGAGCGUGAAUCAUAUAGUAGAUAUGAUCAACAUAAUGAUGUUCACCAUUGAAAGCUACUCCAUUUCACGUGAUAAUCGGUUAUGGUUUAGUUGAUUUGGAUCACGUGAUCACUUAGAGGAUUAGAGGGAUGUCUUUCUAAGUGGGAGUUCUUAAGUAAUAUGAUUAAUUGAACUUAAAUUUAUCAUGAACUUAGUCCUGGUAGUAUUUUGCAAAUUAUGUUGUAGAUCAAUAGCUUGCGUUGUUGCUUUCAUAUGUUUAUUUUGAUAUGUUCCUAGAGAAAAUUGUAUUGAAAGAUGUUAGUAGCAAUGAUGCGGAUUGGAUCCGUUAUCUGAGGUUUAUCCUCAUUGCUGCACAGAAGAAUUAUGUCCUUAAUGCACUGCUAGGUGACAGACCUAUUGCAGGAGCAGAUGCAGACGUUAUGAACGUUUGGCUAGCUCAAUAUGAUGACUACUUGAUAGUUUAGUGCACCAUGCUUAACGGCUUAGAAUCGGGACUUCAAAGACAUUUUGAAUGUCAUGGACCAUAUGAGAUGUUCCAGGAGUUGAAGUUAAUAUUUCAAGCAAAUACCCGAGUUGAGAGAUAUGAAGUCUCCAACAAGUUCUAUAGCUAAAAGAUGGAGGAGAAUCGCUCAACUAGUGAGCAUGUGCUCAGAUUGUCUGGGUACUAGAAUCGCUUGAAUCAAGUGGGAGUUAAUCUUCCAGAUAAGAUAGUGAUUGACAGAAUACUCUAGUCACCAUCACCAAAUUAGUAGAACUUCGUGAUGAACUAUAGUAUGCAAGGGAUGACGAAAACGAUUCCCAAGCUCUUCGUGAUGCUGAAAUCGAUGAAGAUAAAAAUCAAGAAAAGCAUCAAGUGUUGAUGGUUGACAAGACCACUAGUUUCAAGAAAAGGGCAAAGGGAAGAAGUGGAACUUCAAGAAGAACGGCAAGCAAGUUUCUGCUCAAGUGAAGAAGCCCAAGUCUGGUCCUAAGCCUAAGACUAAGUGCUUCUACUGCAAAGGGACUAGUCACUGGAAGUGGAACUGCCCCAAGUAUUUGGCGGAUAAGAAGGAUGGCAAAAGUGAACAAAGGUAUAUUGGAUAUACAUGUUAUUGAUGUGUACUUUACUAGUGUUUAUAGCAACCCCUCGGCAUUUUGAUAUUGGUUCAGUUGCUAAGAGUAGUAACUCGAAACAGGAGUUGCAGAAUAAACAGUAAAUAGUAAAAAGGCGAGGUGACGAUGUGUGUUGGAAGUAGUUCCAAGAUUGAUAUGAUCAUCAUCGCACACUCCCUAUACUUUCGGGAUUAGUGUUGAAACUAAAUAAGUGUUAUUUGGUGUUUGCGUUGAGCAUGAAUAUGAUUUGAUCAUGUUUAUUGCAAUACGGUUAUUCAUUUAAGUAAGAGAAUAAAUUGUUGUUCUGUUUACAUGAAUAAAACCUUAUAUGGUUACCCACCCAAUGAAAAUGGUUCGUUGGAUCUCGAUCAUAGUGACACACAUAUUCAUAAUAUUGAAACCAAAAGAUGCAAAGUUAAUAAUGAUAGUGCAACUUAUUUGUGGCACUGCAGUUUAGGUCAUAUUGGUGUAAAGCGCAUGAAGAAACUCCAUGCUGAUGGGAUUUUGGAAUCACUUGAUUAUGAAUCACUUGAUGCUUGCGAACCAUGCCUUAUGGGCAAGAUGACUAAAGACUCCGUUCUCCGGAACAAUAGAGCGAGCAACUGACUUAUUGGAAAUAAUACAUACGGAUGUAUGCAAUCCGAUGAGUGUUGAGGCUCGCGGCAAGUAUCAUUAUUUUCUGACCUUCACAGAUGAUUUGAGCAGAUAUGGGUAUAUCUACUUAAUGAAACAUAAGUCUGAAACGUUUGAAAAGUUCAAAGAAUUUCAGAGUGAAGUUGAAAAUUAUCGUAACAAGAAAAUAAAAUUUCUACGAUCUGAUAGUGGAGGAGAAUGUUUGAGUUACGAGUUUGGUCUACAUUUGAAACAAUGCGGAAUAGUUUCGCAACUCACGCCACCCGGAACACCACAGCGUAAUGGUGUGUUCGAACGUCAUAACCGUACUUUAUUGGAUAUUGUACAAUCUAUGAUGUUUCUUACCGAUUUACCACUAUCCUUUUUGGGGUCAUGCAUUAAAGAUAGCUGGAUUCACGUUAAAAAAGGGGCACCACCUAAGUCCAUUGAGACGACACAAUAUGAACUGUGGUUUGGCAAGAAACCAAAGUUGUCGUUUCUUAAAGUUUGGGAUUGCGAUGCUUAUGUGAAAAAGUUUCAUCCUGAUAAACUCAAACCCAAAUCGGAGAAAUGUGUCUUCAUAGGAUACCCAAAGGAGAAAGUUGGGUACACCUUCUAUCACAAAUCCGAAGGCAAGACAUUCGUUGCUAAGAAUGGAUCCUUUCUAGAGAAAGAGUUUCUCUCCAAAGAAGUGAGUGGGAGGAAAGUAGAACUUGAUAAGGUAAUUGUACCUUCUCCCUUAUUGGAAAGUAGUUCAUCACAGAGAUCUGUUCCUGUGACUACUACACCAAUUAGUGAGGAAGCUAAUGAUGAUGUUCAUGUAACUUCAGAUCAAGUUACUACCGAAUCUCGUAGGUAAACCAGAGUAAGAUCCGCACCAGAGUGGUACGGCAAUCCUGUUCUGGAAGUCAUGCUACUAGAUCAUGAUGAACCUACAAACUAUGAAGAAGCGAUGGUGAGCCCAGAUUCCGCAAAAUGGCUUGAGGCCAUGAGAUCUGAGAUAAGAUCCAUGUAUGAAAACAAAGUAUGGACUUUGAUUGACUUGCCCAAUGAUCGGCGAGACAUUGAGAUUAAAUGGAUCUUCAAGAGGAAGACGGACGCUGAUAGUGUUACUAUCUACAAAGCUAGAAUUGUCGCAAAAGGUUUUCGACAAGUUCAAGGUGUUGACUACGAUGCGAGUUUUUCACUCGUAUCUAUGCUUAAGUCUGUCUGAGUCAUGUUAGCAAUUGCCAAAUUUUACGAAAUCUGGCAAAUGGAUGUCAAAACUGCAUUCCUUAAUGGAUUUUUUAAAGAAGAGUUGUAUAUGAUGCAACCAGAAGGUUUUGUCGAUCCGAAAGGUGCUAACAAAAUGUGCAAGCUCCAGCGAUCCAUCAAUGGACUGGUGCAAGCAUCUCGGAGUUGGAAUAUACGCUUUGAUAAGUUGAUCAAAGCAUAUAGUUUUAAUACAGACUUGCGGUGAAGCCUGUAUUUACAAGAAAGUGAGUGGGAGCACUACAGCAUUUCUGAUAAGUAUAUGUGAAUGACAUAUUGUUGAUCGGAAAUAAUGUAGAAUUUUUCUGGAAAGCAUAAAGGAGUAUUUGAAAGGAGUUUUUCAAAGAAAGACCUUGGUGAAGCUGCUUACACAUUGAGCAUCAAGAUCUAUAGAGAUAGAUCAAGACGCUUGAUAAGAUUUUUCAAUGAGUACAUACCUUGACAAGAUUUUGAAGUAAUUCAAAAUGGAACAGUCAAAGAAAGAGUUCUUGCCUAUGUUGCAAGGUGUGAAGUUGAGUAAGACUCAAAACCCGACCAUGGCAGAAAAUAGAAAAGAAUGAACAGUCAUUCCCUAUGCCUCAGUCAUAGGUUCUAUAAAGUAUGCUAUGCUGUGUACUAGACCUAUUGUAUACCUUCCUCUGAGUUUGCCAAAGGAAUACAAUUUUGAUCUAAAAGUAGAUCACUAGAACAGCGGUCAAGAAUAUCCUUAGUGAGGACUAAGGAAAUGUUUCUCGAUUAUGGAGGUGAUAAAAGAGCCAGUCAUAAAAAGUUACAACGAUGCAAGCUUUUACACCAAUCCAGAUGACUCUAAGUCUCAAUCUGGAUACAUAUUGAAAGUGGGAGCAAUUAGCUAGAGUAGCUCUGUGCAGAGCAUUGUGGACAUAGAAUAUUUGCAAAAUACAUACGGCUCUGAAUGUGACAGACCCGUUGACUAAACUUCUCUCAUGAACAAAACAUGAUCAUACCUUAGUACUCUUUGGGUCUUAAUCACAUAGCCAUGUGAACUAGAUUAUUGACUCUAGUAAACCCUUUGGGCGUUGGUCACAUGACGAUGUGAACUAUGGGUAUUAAUCACAUACAUAUGUGAAUAUUGGUGUCAAAUCACAUGGUGAUGUGAACUAGAUUAUUGACUCUAGUGCAAGUGGGAGACUGAAGGAAAUAUGCCCUAGAGGCAAUAAUAAAGUUAUUAUUUAUUUCCUUAUUUCAUGAUAAAUGUUUAUUAUUCAUGCUAGAAUUGUAUUAACCGGAAACAUAAUACAUGUGUGAAUACAUAGACAAACAUAGUGUCACUAGUAUGCCUCUACUUGACUAGCUCGUGAAUCAAAGAUGGUUAAGUUUCCUAGCCAUGGACAAAAGAGUUGUCAUUUUAUUAACGGGAUCACAUCAUUAGGAGAAUGAUGUGAUUGACUUGACCCAUUCCGUUAGCUUAGCACUUGAUCGUUUAGUAUGUUGCUAUUGCUUUCUUCAUGACUUAUACAAAGUUCCUACAACUAUGAGAUUGUGCAACUUCCGUUUACCGAGGAACACUUUGUGUGCUACCAAACGUCACAACGUAACUGGGUGAUUAUAAAGGUGCUCUACAGGUGUCUCCAAAGGUACAUGUUGAGUUGGCAUAAUUCGAGAUUAGGUUUUGUCACUCCGAUUGUCGGAGAGGUAUCUCUGGGCCCUCUCGGUAAUACACAUCACUUAAGCCUUGCAAGCAUUGCAACUAAAGAGUUAGUUGUGGGAUGAUGUAUUACGGAACGAGUAAAGAGACUUGCCGGCAACGAGAUUGAACUAGGUAUUGGAUACCGACGAUCGAAUCUCGGGCAAGUAACAUACCGAUGACAAAGGGAACAACGUAUGUUGUUAUGCGGUUUGACCGAUAAAGAUCUUCGUAGAAUAUGUAGGAACCAAUAUGAACAUCCAGGUUCCGCUAUUGGUUAUUGACCGAGAAUAAUUUUAGGUCAUGUCUACAUAGUUCUCGAACCCGUAGGGUCCGCACGCUUAACGUUACGAUGACAGUUUUAUUAUGAGUUUAUAAGUUUUGAUGUACCGAAGGUUGUUCGGAGUACCAGAUGUGAUCACGGACAUGACGAGGAGUCUCGAAAUGGUCGAGACAUAAAGAUUGAUAUAUUGGACAGAUAUAUUUGGACACCGGAAAGGUUCCGGAUGAGAUUGGGACUAUACCGGAGUUCCGGGAGGUUACCGGAACCCCCCGGUAAGUAUAUGGGCCUUAUUGGGCCUUAGUGGAAGGGAGGGAGAAGGAGCAAAGGAGGGGGCGCCCCCCCCCCCCAAGCCCAAUCCGAAUUGGGAGGGGGGCUGGCCCCCCCUUUCCUUCUUCCCUCCCCUCUCUUCCUUCCCUCUCCUACUCCUAAUAGGAAAGGGGGGCCAAACCUACUUGGAGUAGGUUUUCCCCCCUAGGGCGCGCCUCCCCUCUUGGCCGCCCCCCUCCUCCUCUCCCCCUUUAUAUACGGAGGAGGGGGGCACGCCAUAGACACACAAGUUGAUCUACGGAUCGUUCCUUAGCCGUGUGCGGUGCCCCCCUCCACCAUAUUCCACCUCGGUCAUAUCGUCGCAGAGUUUAGGCGAAGCCCUGCGCCGGUAGAACAUCAUCAUCGUCACCACGCCGUCGUGCUGACGGAACUCAUCCCCGACGCUUUGCUGGAUUGGAGCCUGGGGAACGUCAUUGAGCUGAACGUGUGCUGAACACGGAGGUGCCGUACGUUCGGUGCUUGGAUCGGUCGAGUCGUGAAGACGUACGACUACAUCAACCGCGUUGUGAUAACGCUUCCGCUUACGGUCUACGAGGGUACGUGGACAAUACUCUCCUCUCUCGUUGCUAUGCCAUCACCAUGAUCUUGCAUGUGCGUAGGAAAUUUUUUGAAAUUACUACGUUACCCAACAAGGGUUUCCAACUUUUUUUGUAAAAAAACCAUUUUCUAUUUUCUAAAUGUAAAAAAGGGUGCUUUGUGUGAAGCAUGUACCAAAAACAGGGUACAAAAUGGCACCACUCCAAUUUUCACAAAAAUUAGACCGUAUUUUAUGGACAAUUCCCAAAAUCUGUAGAUUUAUCUCUAAAAAAUUAACAAUUGGUGUAUUUUUUUAAUAUUUAAUAAAAAUAAUAUAUAUUUUUAAUGGGAAAGGCAGAUAUUAAAAGGAUACCAUGGACAUCUGAGGGUGUACGUUGAAGCGUUGGAGGUGCCUUUACGUGCCAGUUUACGACGUGCUCAACCGGGAAUGUGGUAGUAUUAAUCAGUAUAUACUUUUAAAAAUCAAUAUAUAAUUUGUUUGGAUUAUUUUAGUUUGCAGGGCAAACUUAAAAUGGAUUUAUUUAGCCUAUUUUUGUGAAAUCACUAAUUAGGAGGUACCUUUUGCAAAGGUCACACCCCACUUUCAUUAGUGCUGACAGGUGGCACAUGGCAUGUGUGUCCCUUGUCGCAACAUGGGAGUUUGCCCUUUUUGUAGAUUCAUUUUUUUUAAUCUUUUAUCUCUUGAACCGCGCAUUCAAAUCACGACCCAUUUUUAUCGUUGGAUUUCUCACGCCGAGAUCUUUGAAACUAGUCACAUGUUAAUAAGUUCCGAUGAACUUUUUCUUCACGAAAAUCAAACAAAAAAAUAUGAAAACAAAAAAUACAGAAAGCAAAAAAAGAAAAAAAAAACUAAAAUCACGGUUGUGCUUUUUUACAUUUUUGGGAAGAAAAAUUGUGCUUUCCCCUUUUUGGGAAACACGGUUUUGCUUCUUGUGAAAGCAUAGGUUGUGCUUUUCCCUUUUCAAGAAGCAUAGGCCAUGCUUCUCUUGUUCUCCGGGAAGCACAUAUGUGCCUUUCCUUUCGGGGAGCACAGUUUUCUCUUUCGGAAAAGCAUAGAUGUGUUUUUCCCUUUUCAGAGAAGCACUACCUAUGCAUCUCACCGAAGAACAUGCUGUGCUUUUCCUUUUUUGAGGAAGUAUAGUUGUGCUUUCCCUUUUUUACAGGGUAGCAAAAAUUGUGCUUUCUUCCUUCUCGGGAAGCUAUGCUUCCCGCGGAAAAGCACCGCCUCAUGAAAAAACAUAAAAAUGAUUUUUUUUUCAUCAAAACCUAGGGAAAACCAAGAAAAAAAGAAAACAUGUGUAAAAAAAUCUAAGGGUGAACCCAGUGCACGACACGUGGCGGCAAUUGGACGCAUCACUUGAUGCGCUCUCAGGUCCUAAAAGUAGCCUAUGUGGAAUCCCCCGAUGAGAUACCCGUUAGAUAGUUGGAGACCUCCUUGCAUCAAAUAGGAGGGUGGCCACAAAGGGGGCGCAUCCUGGUGGGCCGGCCCAGCAGCGUGCUACACUCUAGCGCAAAUUGGUCAAAAUCUAAAAAGUGAUGUGUGAUCAAAGCGCGCAUGGCUAGCCACUCAAGCUAAUGAAACUCUGCUAACUACUAGGCCGUGUUGAACUUUAAAAAGUACUAUAUGAUACCCCGCGCGUUGUUGCGGGAACUCUUAGUACUUUACAUGAAGAAGCUUGUGGAGUGAAAAUAAUUAAAUGAUGAAAAUAUACACUUUUUAAAACCUUUGGUGGUACUUGUAGGAACAUUAUGGAGUGAAAAUAAGUUAACAAUUAAUAUAUUUUUGAACGUUUGAUGGUAUUUUGAGAAUCAUGAGAGAAAUGGUAUAUUAGGGUAUCUCUGUAUUUAUGUAGUUAGAACGCGCCACCCUUUAGCGGGGAAUUAAAUGCAUCGCUAACAUUAAAAAAUAGAGCAUAUAGUUUGAUGGGAAUUUCACUGAAAACAUGGCCAGCCAAGUCUAAAGCUGAAUAUUACACUGAACAGAGAGCCCAAUCAUUGCCUAACACAAAAGCACUAAUGCUUGUUGAGUUAUUUGUAAUAUAGGAGCAGAAUCCCUUCGAAAGAGAAAUUCCAAAAUAUUAAAAAGAUCCAACAGUAAGACAUCCAUACACCUUACAGUUUAUACAUGGAGACAAGCUACAUACCAAUCGCUAAAAAAGGUGAAUAUAGAGUCAUGCACAUCAGGCCCUCAUGGCAUAGAUGCAUUUCUUCCACUAAAAGGACAUGCCUUAAGGGGAUUAGUGUAGGUGUGAAGAUCUGGACAUAUAAAUGGCAGGAAUGACUUCAUCUUCCUGCCCCUUCUGUGGAAACAAAAGCCCGACUUCAAUUGGGAUCCGUUUGACAUGUUGCUCCCUCUUCAUAAAAUGGAGCUGAUCGUUAUCUAAAAGCAAGCUAGGUAGAUUUGGCAUGGCCAGCAGUAGUACUUGCUACUUUGCCAGUUGUGAUGCAUCAUAUGAGAAGGCAAGGAAGGUUGCGUGCUGCCAUGGCCGGACCCUUUGGGGUGCCAAAUGGUGUUCAAAUUUAUAGUAGGUUCCAUUUUUGGUGGGAAUCCAAGAAAAAGAAGGCAAUGGAGUAAGAUGACAACCCAUUCCCAGACUGCCACUCAAAAUCAAAAUGAAGAGGGUAAAUAAAUGUACUUACUAAGAACACACGGAUAACAUACAGCUGGCUACAGAAACAGCCAAACUUUGUAAGUCCAUGGAAAUUGAGGAAAUUGUGAAAACUAUUUCUGUGAGUAGAAGGAAACGUAGUCCAGUUACCUUUCAUGGUAAUGCUUCUCUUGAGACGAUUCUUAGGAUCCCUGAAGAAUGUCUUCUGUUUUCCUGAAGCGGGAUUCCUUGCUAGAGCAGUACCUUUUGUUCUCUUGAGUUAAGGCAGAGUGGGAAAUACAUCACUAUCAGCUCUAGUUCAAUUGCUUGUAUUUUACAAAAACAUACAAUUGAAACAAUUAUCAGGAAAAGUUAUUACCUUAAUCGCAGCAACUCUUUGAGCAUGCAAUUUGGCGUCUUGGUGUAUAAUCUUCAUGUGUAAACAAUUUGUUUUAGCAUCUAGACUCUAUAAUUAAAAUUAAUAAGUUCUUUAAAACCCAAAGGCAACUAUAUAGACCAAUACAAUUAAACAAAGCCAGCGGGUAGGUUUCAAAUAUUAAGUAGCAGGGCUCCAUAGUUAACUCUCCAUCAUGCAGGCAUUUAGUGUAGUAGAUACAAGACAUACGUGUGACAGAUUGCAUAUGAACAACAUUUAUUAGUAGGAAAAUUGUACUACCGUAUAUUGCACUAACACUAACUAUAUGAAGAAGCCAAUAGCAUGUAAUUUCAGCUUGCAAGAAAGCGCCACUUACUCUUAUAGAUCGGCUAAUCUACAUGGCAACUUCUGGGGAUGGUGAUGGAUAAGUACAGUUGGAUCGUUUUUAGAUGUUAAUCUAUUAUUAUAAAAAUCAUCUUCCUUUACUUUCAAGGGAGAACUGUAGAGGGGAAAGAACAACAUUUUUUAAUCUAAUGAUCCAUCACUUAUUCACAACUAUUGCAAUAACCAAGUAUGUUGGAUGCAAGGACGAGGUGAGAGUGCAGGCAACAUGUAUGUCACAUCAUGCGAACAGGUGGGGAUCAUGUUAAGUCAAUGCAGAAGGAUGCGUUGUGUGUCCGCGCACCGUCAACACCGCCGAGUAAACAGUAAACUAAACCUGGGGACCAGUGCUCUUGACCUUCCCAGCUACUUCUGGCAUAGGGGGAAUAUUUGAGGAUUUAUAGUGCUGAGAUUAGGGUUAGGAGNNNNNNNNNNNNNNNNNNNNNNNNNNNNNNNNNNNNNNNNNNNNNNNNNNNNNNNNNNNNNNNNNNNNNNNNNNNNNNNNNNNNNNNNNNNNNNNNNNNNNNNNNNNNNNNNNNNNNNNNNNNNNNNNNNNNNNNNNNNNNNNNNNNNNNNNNNNNNNNNNNNNNNNNNNNNNNNNNNNNNNNNNNNNNNNNNNNNNNNNNNNNNNNNNNNNNNNNNNNNNNNNNNNNNNNCUCCUCCCGAAGCUUCCUAGGUUUCUUCUGGUCCAAGAAAAAUCAUCGUAAAGUUUUAUUCGUUUGGACUCCGUUUGAUAUUCCUUUUCUGUAAAACUCAAAAACAAGAGAAAAAAACAGAAACUGACACUGGGCUCUGGGUUAAUAAGUUGGUCCCAAAAAUAAAUAAAAUAACAUAUUAAUGCAUAUAAAUCAUCCAAAAUAGAUAAUAUAAUAGCAUUGAACAACCAAAAAUUAUAGAUACGUUGGAGACGUAUCAGGAUCAUGUUAAGUCGAUGCGAAAGGAUGCAUUGUGUGUUCGCACACUGGAUGCUUGCAUUUAUAUGGCUCUAUCAGCAUCGCCGAAUAAACUAAAUCUGGGGACCGGUGCUCUUGACCUUCCCAACUACUUCGACUGGAAAUCAGAUCCUCCAUGCCAAAUAAGAAAGACCGUUCAGGUCGUGCUGAUAGAGAGGAAAGAGACCACUCACCUCCGACAAUGGCACGUGUGGCUCGCCUGAAGGUCCUUGGGUUGAAUCCACGGUGUUGGGCUAGCGUAGCACCCAUUGGCGGCAAUCAUGGGGCUCCAAGAUGGCGUCACCGUGUAGAUGUCUGGUGUUGUUGGCCAUAGACGGUUUUGUCAAAGGCGACGCAUUAUGGAAAGAUGGAGAGAUAAAAGAGGGGAGGAGAAGAACCUGGAAGACAAUAGAUAUUUAUUGGUGAAGGGGAGAUGAACGGAAUCAUCGGGCGAAGAGGUGAUGGCUCGUGUCCGCAUUAGUAUUUUCCCCGAAGAGGAAGGGAUGAUGCAACACAGCUACGGUAGGUAUUUCCCUCAGUGAUGAGACCAAGGUUAUCGAACCAGUAGGAGAACCACGCAACACUAUGUAAAUGGUACCUGCACACAAAGAACAAAUACUUGCAACCCGACGCGUAAGAGGGUUGUCAAUCCCUCCCGGGUAAAAGAUAGAUUGGUUUCUAGUAGAUUGGAUAAAUAGAUCUCGCGGAAACGCAAAAUAAAAUAAAUAACAAAAAAUUGCAUCAAGGUAUUUUUGGGUUUUUAGAAUAAUAGAUAUCUAUACCUAUUAAUAAAAGAAAUAGGUAUUCUUCGUCCGUCAUGCUAUUUUGUAGAAAACCCCCUGAUGUUUCUGACAUUAAACCAGCAGUACAUAUCAAGUGCUUUUUAAAAUACUCAUAAUUUUAAACCAUAACUCCAAAUUUAACAUAUUAUAUAUGGAAUUUAAUUAGAAAAUUAUUUAGAAUCUAAAUAUGAUGUUAUUUUACCUGUUAACAAUUUUUAAAAUAAACUAUCUAGGCUGCAAUGUUAAUCAACAAUGCAUUAUCCGUCUUUUUUUCAUACCGGUAUUGAUUUAGAUUGGGGAUGAAAACCUCAGCAAAAUCAGGAUUGGACAUCAGAUUGAAGAUAAAUUUGUUAGAGACACCGAAUAAAUAAGGACAUGCAUGACAAGAAAUAAAAAGAUCCAAUAAAGAUGGGAUGUCCGCUAUAAAAAUAAAUAAAAGAGAAAAUGCAGAGGAGAUCCGAUAAAGAUGAGAUGUUGCGCUAUUCUCCUAUAUAUAAGAAGAGUAAAAGGAGGACAUGCAUGAAAAAAGGUAAAAAGGAGGCAUGCAUGAAAAAAAUACAAGUUUUAUAAGAAAUAAAUAGUGAUGAAACAGGGACCAAUACCUAUGACAUGUAUGGCAAGAAAUAGUGAUGAAAUAGGGGCACAAGUACCUGAGUCAACAGGAGACCAUAAAAAAUGUUGUUUUCCAGACCAAAAAAAACCUAUUUUAUGAUUAAAAAAUCUUGUACCUUUUUAACAACCUUUUUAACUCUUCAUGUAUUUAAGAAAUAGCUACAAAUUCUCGGAUUAUAAAACAUUUUUUGUAAAUUAAGAGUGUGUGGUACUUUUUUCCCGUUGCAACGCACGGGCCUUUUUGCUAGUGAAAAUAAAAGAGGCAAAUAAUAGAUCGGAAAGCAAAUAUGAUAAAGAAUAGACCCAGUGGCCGUAGAUUUCACUAGUGGCUUCUCUCCAGAAAAAUUGCAUACAGUGGGUAAACAAAUUACUGUUGGGUAAUUGAUAGAACUUCAAAUAAUUAUGACGAUAUCCGGGCAAUGAUCAUUAUAUAGGCAUCAUGUCCUAGAUUAGUAGACCUACUCCUUCCUGCAUCUACUACUAUUACUCCACACAUCGACUGCUAUCCAGCAUGCAUCUAGUGUAUUAAGUUCAUGGAAAAAUGGAGUAAUGCAAUAAGAAUGAUGACAUGAUGUAAACAAGAUCUAUUCAUGUAGGAAUAGACCCCAUCUUGUUAUCCUUAAUGCAACGAUCAAUAUGUGUCUUGCUGCCCCUUCUGUCACUGGGAAAGAACACCGCACGACCGAUCCCAUCACAAAGCACCUCUUCCCAUGGCAAGAAAAAUCGAUCUAGUCAACCUAACUAAACAAAAGAUUCGAAGAAGAAUACGAGGCUAUAAGUAAUCAUGUGUCUAAGAGAUCAAAACUCAAAUAACUUUCAUGUAUAAAAUAGAUCUGAUCAUAAACUCAAAGUUCAUCGGAUCCCAACAAACACACCGCAAAAAGUGUUACAUCAAAUAGAUCUCCAAGAGACCAUUGUAUUGAGAAUCAAAAGAGAGAGAGGAAGCCAUCUAGCUACUGCCUACGGACCCAUAGUUCUACAAUGAACUACUCACGCAUCAUCGGAGAGGCACCAAUGAGGAUGAUGAACCCCUCUGUGAUGGUGUCUAGAUUGGAUCUCAUGGUUCCGGAACUUGCGGCAGCUCGAAUUGUGUUUCGUCGACUCCCCUAGGGUUUUUGGAUUUUCGGGGUAUUUAUAGAGCAAAAAGGUUGUGCGGGAGGGCACCGAGGUGGGCACAACCCACCAGGGCACGCCUGGGCCCCCAGGCGUGCCCAGGUGGGUUGUGUCCCCUGGGGACACCCAUCUGGUACUUCUUUGGCCCAAGUUGUUCCUUCUGGUCUAGAAAAAUUCUCCAAAAAGUUUCGUUGCGUUUGGACUCCGUUUGGUAUUGAUUUUCUGCGAAGUAAAUAACAAGCAAAAAAUAACAACUGGCACUGGGCAAAUAGGUUAAUAAAAUGAUAUAAAGUUGCUAUAAAAUGAUUGUAAAAUAUCCAAGAAUGAUAAUAUAACAGCAUGGAACAAGCAAAAAUUAUAGAUAUGUUGGAGACGUAUCAAGAGGCAAUAAGAGGAAGGCGCAGCAAUCAGUUCGACGGUAGUAAAAAAUUACACGAUUCCUUUCGUUGAAAAGGGAAAAAGGAAGCAUUGGUGAUGUGGCAGAUUUUCUAACCUGGAUGGCAGCAUGUUGAUUGCUGAUGUGGAUAGGCUACAUGUCAAGAGAAAUACGGUACUGGGGAUGAACUAUUUAGGUAUUAUAUAUGCGCAACAUCACAUCUAAACUCUUUAUGAAAUUACAAAACACGAUGGUUUUUAAAAUGGAUAUAUUUUGGAACCCAAUUUUUUAAAAUUUAUGAAUAAAUUUUUGAAAACUUGAACAAUUUCUUGAGUCUAUGAACAAUUUUUUGAACACGAACUUUUUUUCAAAAUUUCAAAACGCAAUUAUUUUUUUAAUGUAACCUUUUUCAAAAUUCAAAAACAUGAUUGUUUGUAAAGUGAAUAUGUUUUUAAAAUUCUAGACUAAAUUUGCAAGUUGAAUAUGUUUUGAGAAACACUCGAAAUUGUGGACGUUUUCUAAAACGUCAAAGAACUUUGAAAAACAUCAAACAUUUUUCAAAGCACGGAUUCUGGGAAAAAAACAAAUUCCGAACAUCUUUUAGAAAUUUUGAAUUUAUGAAAAAAGAAAAAGAAGCAGAAAAUGAAAAAAGAAAGAAAGCAAGGAAAAGCAGUGAAGAAAUAAAACAGAAAAAGGGAAAAAACCUGAAAAUAGUGGUAAAGACUGAUCCUAGCUACUUGGGCUGGUCCAUCUAUGGUUUACUCGCUGCUCAUUUCGGAGAUUUCUUUUAGGGGUAAAACCAAGUUUUAUACAUCAAACACCAUAGAGUGUGGGAUAGAGUUUGGGUCAUGGCAUUUUCCAAAGCAAACAUUGCGUCCCAGACCUAACGAAAGAGAAAACCUGCCUAGAUUAUGUGCUUCGACAUUUACAGGAUGAUCUUUAGAUAAAAAAAUACAAUGAAAUAAAUACGGUUGCAACUUGAUCUCGUUGAUAAUGGCUCGUUUCCACAUAGUUUGCUCACAUUUUUGAGAGAAAAUUUAGCCUUGAUGGGCUGGGAAAUUGGGCCAGCCAUCCUCGAGUGUGACUGGCUUGUCUUUGUCUAGUAUAAAUCCCAUCACGUUGCCCAAGAGCCCACCCUUAUCUAUUUUUCUACAGGACCCAUAUAUGUUUGGUUCCUUCAGCACGAUGGGCCGCCUCCCAGCCUCCCUCGCCCGCUCGACAGCUCCCCCACCAAUAGAGUUAGGCCCUCGACCCUCCCCCACCCCAAGGUUGCGAGCAUGUCCCUUCCCGACAUCUCUUCCACACGGCCUCGUCCCACCCCAUGUUCUCCCCCAAGUGCUUUGUCGAGUGUCAUGGAAAAAUAUUCUUGGCAAGAUAGUGGAACUCACGCAAAAUGUGCUUUAUCGAGUGCUACACUCGGCAAAAGGGGGUAUGCAGGGAAGCAAAAUCAUGCUUUUUUCCUUCUCGGGAAGCUGCGCUUCCCGUGGAAGGCUUCAUCAAAAACCAGAAAAAAAGAUUUUUUUUUUCAUCAAAACCUAGGGAAAAUAAAAGAAAAAAAACACGUGUAAAAAAUAAAAUCUUAAGGGUGUACCUGCACACGACAUGUGGCCGCAGUUGGGCACAUCACUUGAUGCGCUCUCAGGGCCUCAAAGUAACCUCUGCAGGAACCCUCGACAAGAAACCCAUCAGACAGUUGGAGUCUCCCUUGCGUCAAAUAGGAGUGUGGCCACAAGGGGAGCGCGUCCUGGUCGGCCGGCCCAGUAGCCUGUAGCACUCUACCGCAAAUUUGUCAAAAUCUAAAACAUGACGUUUGAGCAAAGCUCGCAUGGCUAGCCAGUCAAGCUGAUGAAACUUUGCCAACUACUAUGUCGCGUUGAUCAGUAAAAAUUAUGUGCAACAUCACAUAUGAAAAAAAAUUGGAAUUUCAAAACACGGUUGUUUUUAAAAUGAACUAGUAAAGUGGCCCGCUCGAUGUGCGGGCUAGAUUUUUAAGUUUUUUUUAAUAAUAUCAUAUUGUUUGAUUUGGCUAAAGAAAAAUUGGAACCCAAUAUGACGACUUUAUUGUGCGGGCUCAAUCUUUGAAUUGUCUAUUAUGUUUUAUGAUUGAAUUUCUUAUCUGUAGUAAGUCAAUACAUAAUUAUGACGACUUUAUUGUGCGGGCUCAAUCAAUAUUAUUAUUUACUGUUAUUCUUCUUAUUUUUAUUGUUAAAAAAACAAUGUUAAAGUCAACCCAUUUGAAAAAAACUAAUUUAAUGUAAGUAUAGUAUCUAAAGUCCUAGUAUAGUAAUUUCAUUUCAAUUUAAUUUUAUUGUAUUCUUCCAUUUUGAAAAUGUAUUUUUAUUAUGAAUCUAGCACUUUAGUUAAAAUACAAAUAAAACUACUACAUUACUGAUCCCAAAAUUAAACAAAAAUGUGUACAUAAACUUGUCUUUAUCAUCGAUGAAUUACAACCAGAUCAUAUGUUUAAAUAAUGGAUAUUUAUAUUAUUAAUCAACCAAGCAUAGUUCUUUUGAUCUCGUAGAUUGUGAUUUUCCAAUAGUGUCUUGUCUUUUUGUUUAUGUGCAAAUAAUAGUUCACCUAUCAUAUUUUACGAGAAUGGGAAACAAAUAUAAGAAAUAGAACUGAAAGAAUUAUAUGGACGUCUAUUCUUGGAAAAUUGUUUAUGGUGUCACCAUCUCGUUCACGUGUGAGUAUGCAAUCUAAUUUCUAACAUGGCAUUCUUUCAUGCGUGAAGAAAUUUCAAGUUAUCACAACGCGACAUGAGUUCGAUAGAAUAUUAACUCAUUCGGAAAAAAAGAUAUGUACAUACAAAACUAAUGAAGUAACUUCAGUAAAAAUUAAUAUGUUACCCAAGAUUUUGAGGGACUGUGAUUUUGAAGGGGUAUUACAUUUUUGUAAUGUUAACUUGACACAUUGGUGAGAAACACAAUUCGAAUAGAAUACACUAAAGCUGAGAAAACAGAACUUUGUUGAACAAUAAUUAACCGGCUAAGAACUUACAAUGUAUCAUGCCUUUGCUGUUAACAACUAUAUGCAGCAGUAUUUUUUUUAUAUUUAUAAUUAUCACUCAAACUAACUUUUUAGAAAGCAUACUAAUUAGUUAGAUAUUCAGGGAUGCAUUGAUAACAGUAAUCGCUAUCGUCUAGCCUUGCCUCCUGUCUGAUGCACUACAAGCAAAGGAUUCAAAACUACGUUUUCCUGUAAUGUAAAACAAUAAUACUUCAUGGAGAUCAUGUUUGCAUGUGCAUAUGGAAUUUAUCAAUAGUAGGUAGAAAAGUCCUAGCUAGCUUAGCUUAGCUUAGGAUAACGCCCUGGCAUCUAAACUGCUUCAUAUAUGCAAUCCAAUUGUAUGGGUCAAAUAUACAAAACCUGAAGCUCAUGGUCUAGAUGUUUCAUUGAUAAUAUCAUUUCCACCAGACUGGCGACCGAUUAUACAGUAGUCUACCUGUAUUGUUUAACACUGAGAUACCGCAUCAGCCAAAUCAUAGCACCUGAGGUGCCUCUUCUAGUGGACGGUGAGAGCAUAUCUGUAAUAAUCAUCCUUUGUAUAACAUUAUUUAUACCUCCAAAUGUUGCACCACACAUGUUCAUCUUUAGAGUCAAGCCCUAUUGCAGCGCAGGUUGUGCUUGGCCAGCACCUUCGUGAUGAACUUGCCAGUGACCACAGUGCAAGCAACUACCAGUACCCAGGAAGCCUCGACGAAGCCAAUGACGUACUGCUCUAUUUCGCGCCGGUCCCAUGUGGCCCACUUGUUUCCCUGAGCAUGUCGGUAUCGACAAAGGAACGAUAGUCGCUAGAUUAAAGGGAAGUGAGAUGGAAAGACACACUCGAGGAGGAAGAUGUUUAGGACUAUGUAUUUGCAUACUCUUUUGGAUCAAGGACGUGGGAUGUAAGUACGGUGUUUGCCUUUUUUUCUUUCUCUUUUUAGCUUUGAAGGGAUGUGUACAUGUUUUUUUUUAUGUCUACAUGCUUGAUUUUUUUUCCUCUGGAGGGAUAUGUACUUGUUUGUAUUUUUAAAAGGUUGGGGGAUCAUUCAUUUUGUACGCACUUGUUUUUUUUUCAAAUGUAUGUACGUGCCUGAUGGAUAUGUGUGGGGACGUUCUUUUUUAUAUAUGUGGGAUAUGUACGUGCNNNNNNNNNNNNNNNNNNNNNNNNNNNNNNNNNNNNNNNNNNNNNNNNNNNNNNNNNNNNNNNNNNNNNNNNNNNNNNNNNNNNNNNNNNNNNNNNNNNNNNNNNNNNNNNNNNNNNNNNNNNNNNNNNNNNNNNNNNNNNNNNNNNNNNNNNNNNNNNNNNNNNNNNNNNNNNNNNNNNNNNNNNNNNNNNNNNNNNNNNNNNNNNNNNNNNNNNNNNNNNNNNNNNNNNNNNNNNNNNNNNNNGUGCCUGAUGGAUAUGUGUGGGGACGUUCUUUUUUUUUUCCAUGAUGGAUGAACGAUGUGGGAUGUGUAUUUUUUUAUAUCUGGGGGGUACACUCUUUUUUAGUGUCCACCGGGUUAUGAAGAUCUAAGGCCUAUGAUUUAUUAGUACAGAGAAGUUCUAUUAAAUCAACCAUCGGAUACUUCUGAUUUUUAUAGAAUUUUUGAUCAUAUUUCUCUUUGUUAGUUAACCUGCUAUUUACUUUUAAUAUAUAGUAGAUACUAUAUAUGCAGUACGUGACCAUGUAUGAGUUUGUGAGGGAUUCUCUAUAUACACAUAUGUGCGUUUGUUUUUUCCUUAUGGAACAGAUGUGCAUGCACGUGCUUUCCAAUUAACAUGGUAGGCUUGCCAAAAAAAAUUAACGUGAUUCCUCACGCAACAUCUUUUUUUAUAGAAGAGCUCUGACAACCGAAUAAUCCAGGCUUUUUUUCUAGAUUGGAAAAUAUCUACGUGGGACAUGUGCCAUGUAAAUCCUUAGAGGCCCAUCAUAUUAUAUAUGUUACGUAAAUUGAACGGUCACGUAAUCUUAAUUUUAAGAGAUUUACCGGAUCGAGGGUUAUUAUUUUCUAAUUAAUGUGGAAUUUUAUAACCUAUUUCUCUCCCUUUUGGUUCACCGUAUAUUACUUUUAGUAUAUAAAAUAGAUGGUUUUUGGAACAUGGACUUUUUCCAAAUUUAUGAAUAAAAUUUGAAAACUAGAGCAAUUUUUGACUAUAUCAAGGUUUUUUUUUAACACAAACUUUUUUUGAAAUUUUAAAACACGAUUAUUAUUUUAAUACAACCUUUCUUAGAUUUCAAAACACGUUUUUAAUGAAUAUUUUCUUAAACCCUACCAAAAGUUGAAAAUUUGAACAUUUUCAAAAACACUCCGAAGUGUGGACAUUUUCUAAAAAACGUGAAAGGAUUUAGGAAAACUUCAAACUUUUUCAAAGCACGAAUAAUUUUUGGGAAAAAUGAAACAAAAUCAAAUUCCGAACAGUUUUUGAACAUUUUUUUAGAAAUGUUGAAUUUAUGAAAAAAAAGGAUAAAUUAUGAAAGAAACGAAAAUUGGUGAAGAAGAAAACAAGAGAAGGAAAAAAACUAAAAAAUAGUGUAAGAAAAAAACACCAAUACUAGCUACUUGGGAUGGUACAUAUGCGGUUUGCUCACUGCACAUUUCCUAAAUUUUUUUAGGGGUAAAAGCAAGUUUUAAUCAUCAAACACCAUAGAGUGUGGGAUAGAGUUGGGGUCGUGGAAUUGGUUAAACCCAACGCGGCGUCCCAGACCUAACGAAAGAGAAAGACUGGCUAGACUAUGUGCUUCGACAUUGAUAGCAUGACCUUUACAAGAAAAAUUACUAUCAAAUAAAGAUGGUUGCAACUUAAUCUCGUUGAUAAUGGCUCGUUUCCCACAUAGUUUGCUCACAGUUUUUGAGAGAAAAUUUAGCCUUGAUGGGCUGGGAAAUCGGGCCAACCAAUCUCAAGUGCGACCGACUCAUCUUUGUCCACUAGAAAGCCUGCCACGUCGCCCAAGAGCCAACCCUUAUCUUUUUUUUACAGGACCCGUAUAUGUUUUAUUCCUCCAGCAAGACCGGUCGCCGCCAAGCCUCUCUCGCCCGCUCGACAGCUCCCCCCGCUGCCGGGGCUAAGCCCUGGAUCCCCCCACCCCCAGGUUGCGAGCUUGUCCCAUCCCUCCCUCUCUUCUGCGUAGCCUCGCCCCACCUCGUCUUCUCCCCCACCGGUGCUUUGCCUAGUUUCUUGGAAAAAAACUCUCGAUAAAAUAUUGGAACUCUGAUAAAAUGUGCUUUCCUGAUUGCUACACUCGGCAAAAGGGGGUAUGCACUGCACUGUUUUGGUUGUCCAUAUUGCAUACGACCUCGGAUGAAGAUGAUCCCAAAAUCAAAGUUUAUCAUUUUGACAAGAUGAUUAAUUUUCAUGUUCAGAACUUUUCCAUUUUAAGCCAUGUUAUUUACACUUUGGGCAAUGCCAAAAUAUGGUCUCAAAUGAAUAUGGCGGUGGUCAUAUUUAUAGCAUAGUUUCUGACAAUGGGCCUAAAGUUGGCAUUUUGUUGCAUCUCGCCAUUACAAACAAUGAUGCCAAAUAGAGUUUCCAACAUUUUGUACAAAAACUAAUUUUCCCAUUUGCUAAGUGUAAAAAAUGGAUAUUUUAUGAAGCGGGUAAAAAAACAUAGUGCAAAAUGGCACCACCCCAAUUUACAUAAAAAGUAGACCACAUGUUUUAGAAAAUUCCCAGGUUUUGUGGAUCUUCUAGAUUUCUAGCUACUUUCCACAGUUAAAUUCAAAUUUGAACUUUAAGUCUGUGAUAGCUUUGUCCUAAAAAUUAGCAAAAAUGUAAUCUAUUUUUUUAGGUAUGCAAGUAGUCAUUUUAUGAAAUCACCACUUAAGUUUGAGAGAUUCAGGCCCUUGCCAUGACUAUCCAUGCCGGGCAUUUUGACCCCGUUUUGGAAAAAUGAAACAAAAAGGAUACAAGUUCAAAAAAAAUGCAAUCCAUUCGUAUGGACUCCUUUUAUGUGUACUAGCUAGGAUGAAAAUACCAAACUUCAAUAUGAAAACUUUGAAAGAAAAAUAUCCAUCACAAAACGGGCUAUCAUGUAUGAACCUUCACGGCUUUAAAGUCAAACGACCAAGGUGACGACAAUAUCCAUUCCAUAGUUUAUUAUAUUAUGCCCAAAUUAGACAUAUAGGUGAAUCAUGCCAUUGCAAAUAAUGUUGUAAAAUAGAGUUUCCAACUUUUUGUACAAAAAAUCAUUUACUAUUUUCUAAGUAUCAAAAAAAUGGGUGUUUCUUGUGAAGUGGGUUCAAAAAAUAGAGUGGAAAAUGGCACCACUCCAAUUUUCACAAAAAGUAGACCAUAUUAGAUGGACAAUUCCCAAGUUUUGUAGAUGUCUAGAUAAAAACUAACAAUUGGUGUAUUUUUUAAUAUUUAAUGAAAAUAAAAAACGGGCGAGAAUAUGACCAGGGGUGUAAACUGUGGAGGGGGCGCCGCACACGGCUAACAAUUGAUGUUGUGUGUUCUAGGCGCCCCCUUCCCCACAUAUAUAUAGGUGGGAGGGGAGGGGAGGCAGCCAGGGGGCACCCCAAGUAGGAUCUGAAUCCUACUUGGGGUUUCCCCAANNNNNNNNNNNNNNNNNNNNNNNNNNNNNNNNNNNNNNNNNNNNNNNNNNNNNNNNNNNNNNNNNNNNNNNNNNNNNNNNNNNNNNNNNNNNNNNNNNNNNNNNNNNNNNNNNNNNNNNNNNNNNNNNNNNNNNNNNNNNNNNNNNNNNNNNNNNNNNNNNNNNNNNNNNNNNNNNNNNNNNNNNNNNNNNNNNNNNNNNNNNNNNNNNNNNNNNNNNNNNNNNNNNNNNNNNNNNNNNNNNNNNNNNNNNNNNNNNNNNNNNNNNNNNNNNNNNNNNNNNNNNNNNNNNNNNNNNNNNNNNNNNNNNNNNNNNNNNNNNNNNNNNNNNNNNNNNNNNNNNNNNNNNNNNNNNNNNNNNNNNNNNNNNNNNNNNNNNNNNNNNNNNNNNNNNNNNNNNNNNNNNNNNNNNNNNNNNNNNNNNNNNNNNNNNNNNNNNNNNNNNNNNNNNNNNNNNNNNNNNNNNNNNNNNNNNNNNNNNNNCCCCCGGUACUCCUAUAAAUACCCGAUACAUUCGGGAACACUUCCGGUGUCCGAAUACUAUCAUCCUAUAUAUCAAUCUUUACCUGUCGACCAUUUCGAGAUUCCUCGGCAUGUCCAUGAUCUUAUUCGGGACUCCGAACAACAUUCGGUCACCAUAUCACAUAACUCAUAUAAUACAAUAUCAUUAUCGAACGUUAAGCAUGCGGACCCUACGGGUUCGAGAACUAUGUAGACAUGAUCGAGACACCUCUCCGGUCAAUAACCAAUAGCGGAACCUGGAUGCUCAUAUUUGAUCCUACAUAUUCUACGAAUAUCUUUAUCGGUCGAACCGUUAUGACAACAUACAUUAUUCCCUUUGUCUAUCGGUAUGUUACUUGCCCGAGAUUCGAUCGUCGGUAUCUGCAUACCUAGUUCAAUAUCAUUACUGGCAAGUCUCUUUACUCGUUUUGUAAUACAUCACCUCACUAACGGAUGGGUCUUGUCCAUCACAUCAUUCUUCUAAUGAUGUGAUCCCGUUAUCAAAUGACACCUCAUGUCCAUGGUUAGGAAACCUUAACUAUCUUUGAUCAACGAGCUAGUCAAGUAGAGGCUCACUAGGGACAUAGUGUUUGUCUAUGUAUUCACACACGUAUUGAGGUUUCCGAUCAAUACAAUUCUAGCAUGGAUAAUAAACAUUUAUCAUGAAUAAGGAAACAUAAAAUAAGAACUUUAUUAUUGCCUCUAGGGCAUAUUUCCUUCAAAUCAGUAUAUGUGUGCAUGCUUGGUUGUUAGUGAAAUGUUUUAUGUAUAUGUGUACAUGCUUGGUUGGGCCAACUUUGUGUAUUACAUUUUGUGAAAUACAAACUUGAUAUAUGCCACAUUUGUGUUAACGACCAAUAAGUAUAUACGUAACUAUAUUUUGCCUUCUUUUUCCUCCUCCACAAGAAAAGGUCCCAUGCUUUUCUCCUCCUCCAAUUGGCGCCGUAGCUAGUCCGCCCCAUCUUUGAUGGCCUUUGGGCCCUUUAGUACUGUACCGAACCAGCAGCCUUCGCGCCAAGCGACGACCGCCCUUGUCCCUUUCCUUUUUCCAUUCAGCCUACUUCUUAGCUUUGUUCUGUCAGUCUAAGGCAAAGCUUAAGUGGUUUGCCUACCUUACCCACUUGAUGAAAGGGAACGGACUUCAUUUCCUUGGCGGCUUUAUGGAUGGAUUCAGUCAGAAAAAACUCCUUCCUUUUGAAAAAAGUGACGCCACGAAGGUGAGUAGGACCUCAGGCCCUCGCUGGCGGGAGGGAACCUGUUCUCAUUCUUUUUUGGUUCAAUGUCUUGCUGGAGCGCUGUGUUGCGGCUAUGAUGUCUCUCAGUAGGAAUAAUGUUUCACAUGUUCUAUCCCUGUCUCGAUGGUGCCUCUAGCAUCAUCAUAGGGCAUGUGGAGGUGUGUCUCUAUCGGAUUUCGCAGGAUUCGGUCGGCAUUAGUCUUCGGUGGAUCUGUUUGGACACGGUCUAUGUUCAUCUUUGUGGUGUUUAUACUAUUGAUCCUUCCGAUCUAUGACUUUCUUCAUCGACGAUGGUUGCUGCUUCGGUGCGCUGGUCCUAUGGGUCCUUAGCACGUCAACUUCCUGACUAUUGACUACAACAAGGUUUGCCCGGCUCCAGCGAUCGGGGGGGGGGGUGAUGGCGAUGCACAGCUUUCUUUAGUGCUUGUAGUCAUCACUAGGUGGUCCAUGGACCUGGUUGUAAUUUUUUGUAUCUCUGGUGUUCUUUGUACUGCCAUGAUUGAAGAUGAAUAGAUUGGAAGUUUCUCACGCAAAAAUAACUAUAUAAAUAACUAUUUUAGCAAAAUUCGCAAAAAAAACUAUUUUAGCAAGUAAUAAAUUUUGACACCAAUUAUAUGGUAGUAAUUAAUAUUUACCCUAAUAAUAUCCGCAUUGGAUUCAGGUUUUAUACUAUGUAUACAAACGAGAGUAUGUUUGGAUAAUUGUGUGAACACAAGGAUAUAUCUUAGCAAAACUAUUUUUAGCAACAAGUAAAUGAAUUAAUAUAUGCUAGCUAUACUCUGCUGGUGAAAACAUGGUGUAUUAGUUGUACAAAGCAUGCAACACGGUUUCACUCCCCUUUAUAUUCCUGGGCGGAACACAAUUUCAGAUCCAAGUUUUAUGUUUGUCUACACAGUCCCAUCUUCUUCCCAUAUCAGCAGGAAAAUUCACUCCAAUCAUCUCGCCAUUCUACACUUGGGUAAUCAGGUUUGCUUCAAUCUACCAUCCUUGAAUAUAUGCCCCACAUCUUGUUUCUGCGUCCUAAUCUUAUUAAGCUUGUAAUUAGUAGUUAGUGCAAGAUCAAAAAGGAGCUAUGGACAAAACACCAUCCGCACCUGCUGAUAAAAUCACCAUAGGACAAGCGGUGCCUAAUCAUGAAAUAGCAGGAGAUUCAAGUGACAGUGAGAGAACAAUCAGUGAGGGUUAUGUGGGGAUCAUGUAUGGUGGUAGCCAAACCCACGAUGGCAACCUAGAAGGAGAAUCUGAUAUGGUAUUGCUAGCAACAGAUUCAAGUGACAGCGAGAGAACAACCAGUGAGGGUUAUGUGGGGAUCCUGUAUGGUGGUAGCCAAAUCCAGGAUGGAGACCUGGAGGGAGAAUCGGCUAUGGUAUUGCCUGCUGUAGGAGAGAAUACCACGGCGAGAUCUAACAGUCAUGGUUAUACGCGUAGCUUGGAAAUUGAUUCUACCUCUCGUAGUGAGAGGCAUGCUGCCAGGUCAGAUUCUGUUCUAGUGGCACAACGCCGAGACUGCAUACAAAUUUACCCUGAGUGGCUGGAGAAAAUUGAUUCAGGCAAAAAGAUGUGGACAGCUCUCAACCAAUUUCGAGCAAAUGGGAAGCACGAAGAGGUUAGUAUAUACACAUGUUCUGGUGUGCUCUCUCAUCAAAUAAUUUUCAUUGUGGGUUAAUCAUCUCAUAACAUAAGGAGUGUUUGCUUGAUGGGCAUUCAGACCAAAUGAUGAACGAAUUAGAUCCUAGGUUCUCCAAAAGAUGACAUUGUGUUUUGCUUCCGUUACCUCAUAGAUUUUCAGCCUUUGCGUCAAAAUGAUUUUAUGCAUUUGUUUUCGCACUAACUUGUAUUUUUUAAGCACAACCAUCCAUAUAUGUAAAAAAACUCAUGGCCACGUGUGAUUGAUAGAAAUCAGUUAACAUCUCAAUUUCCUCAUGUGCUAUUGUAUGACUACGGAGGUUUUUCUAACAUGAUCCUUCUUACCUCCCCUUUUCACAUGAGACGUAAGAGUAUAAAGUAAAUCUGAGCCAUUGACUGCAUUAAGUAGUAAACUUGACUAAAUCUUACCUUCUUAACUCCCAUGUGAAAAGAUGGGGUAAGAGGAAGCAUGUUAAAAUGCCUCAUGAAUGUGGUGCUGCCGCCAGUGGCAGAGCUUGAGCAUAAUCCAAGAGGGCCAUUACUUGAAGGGGGGGAAAUUAGAAGGGAAUGAGGGGAAAAUAUCUAGUUUAAACACUAGUUAGGCUUAAAAUAUAGUAUAUUCAUUGAUGGGUGCAAAAAUUAAGGGGGGCCAUGGCCCCUGUUGGUCUACAUGAAGCUCCGCCACUUGCUGCCGCACAUUCUGUAGUGUUGUUAUAGACACUGACUGACUCUUGUUUUUGCACUAUAUCCAAAUGUACUAGCAGUCAUAAGACACCAAUCUGUCAGGAUCUCGGCUUUUGGCCUUCUGCUAGAAUGCACUAAAGAUAUUGAUAAGUCUCGCCAUUCCUGGAUGUUGCGAAGGUUACCUGACUGGAACAGAUUGUUCUGGAGAAGGAUAUGGAGGCGCGGCAAACCUAAAGCAGCGACGAUGCAACAAAUGGAAUGUGAUCGAGAAUGGUAUUAUCUACAGGAGCACACCAGAGAGCAUACAAAUUAGGGUCUGCAUGGACGACCAAAACAGAUGGCAUUUUUUUAUCAACUAGCCCAUCCUUUUUUCUUUGAUCUACUAACAUUGGUUGCCAUUUCGGGCUUUUGGGCCAACCUUCGGGCGAGAAAUUGAAGCCCAAGCCUACCCCAGAUGUCGGGCUUUGGGUCAGGCCUCUGGGCCGGGUAGUCCAUGAACAGGUUUAGUUUGAUCUAUUCACUCACAUUUUGAUCCUCGUUCAUUAUAGCAUUUAACCAUAAUUCAUAUGAACAUGCACCACGAGAAUAUAAUAAAGGAAAUGCAUGGGUCAAUUUGUAGUACACAACGCCUUAUUGUGCGAUAUCACAAGAACAUUUUUCACCUUGAUUACAGUAGUAACUACUGUGCAAUCUUAUAUAUCAAAUCAUAUAUUAUAUGACAAAUUAAGUAUAUUUUUUUGCUUAUUUCAGUAUUACCUUCAUAAGGAAUAUAGUCACAAAUUUUGCUCCAAACGCAACGUUAUUGAGUUCAUACGAAAUGGAACUGUGAAAGGGAAGUCGGUUCAGAAGGUGCCUAAAUACUUGACUUUCAAACAUAUAGUAAUUAUGCGAAGAUGUAUAUGUUUUUUGUAUUAAAUUUAAAGUAUUAAUUUGACACGGAAUCCUAUUUUUGCACAGAGAUCAUCUGAUACUUCUACGAACAAUCUUCAUGGUAUGUCCAGUUGGCCCCAUGCAUUUGGAUAUUAUUUUGUCUACUAUUAUUACUAUAGAGAGAAAUCUAACUGAAACUGAAAUAUAAUAAAUAUUCAUGGAGAGAAAAAUAGACAUUAAUGUCCACAUACACAACAAAAUUAACCAGUAUUGUCCUAGUUUACAUGAAUUAAUAUUUGCAAUGACAAUUAGGUUACUCAUGACAUGAUAAAGAAAAAGUUUUUUGUGAGGUAAGAUAAGGUUUUAUAUAACUGUUCAUGGGGACCUCCUCAUGGUUGCAGAUACAUAGUAUUAUAGUGCUUCAUGAAAUAGUUGCAUAUCACCAUGUCUAAAAGAAGAAUCAUGACGGACACAACUUCAAGAAAUUCUUCUUGUCAAAUAACAUGAUUUGUAUAUACCUCAUAGAGGAUGUAACUUGUUGGUAGAAUUUAAUAUUGUGACACACUCGCCAUCUUUUGUGCCAGCAUUAUUUGGGUGAUGAUUUAAUAUCCAAAAGCAUACAUCAAGGUAGUUAUGUGCAAUGAUAUUCUUGUGAAAAUAACUUCCAUAGUGUAUACUUGCAUAUAUGUAUUGCUCUAUUGUAUUCUCACACUUAAUCCUUUUUCUUAAUUUUUUGUUUGCUUAUUUAUGUUUAUAGCAAGAUUAUAAAUUAAGCUGAGCAUAAUUUCUGCAGAUUAUAGAUGGCCCACUAAAAGACAAAGGGCGAAGGUGCAAACUUCAAGUAAUUCUUCUUGCCACAUAGGUUUUUCUAAUUGUGCGAGCAUACCACUUGUAACUGCCUUCAGUCAUCUAUGUCAGUAGUAUUUUGAGAAGAAUUUCAUUACAAAAUGCAACGACUCAAACAAUCAGAUUGUUCAUGAUGAUUCCUAAUUGUAUAACCAAUAAGCUUAACACACCUUCCUAUUUUAGAGUUGUUAUCUUAAUAAGUAUAUAUUAUCUGUUAUAAUGUUGUUGUUGGGUGAAGAACAUUUGUUGCUCAUGGUUAGAAUGCAGAAUUUUCUUAACACAACAACCUAGAGCGAAUGUGGAGGCCAAUAUAGAUUGAAACCAUUAAUUCAUAUUAAAAUGGUCAUGACUUCUUAUUUUUAUUUGACAUAAAUGUUUGUGACUUGUUUGAAUUAAUGUGUUCUGCAAUUAUAUGAUACUUCCAUAUUCAUACUAUUUUUAUGAAAUGUGCAGCUAGUUUGUCGACAGGAGCACGAACAACCACAACUUCUACAAAGCUUCCACAUGGUUUCAUUUAGUAUCAUGCAAAAGACAUUGAGACAAUCAAGAUUACUUGAGCAACCUGAAUUAUGUUAGUUGUUACCUGCUUUCAAACGAAUCUGUCCUCUCAUAGUAUGCAUGUACUUCUGUUGUUGAGGAAUUUAUAUCAUUAGACAUUUAUGUUUUUCAUAAUUAUUGAUUAAUGGGUACAUACCUUCAAUCCUAGAAGAUUAUCAGAUAGCCAGUCAAGGAAGCAAUUUGUUUAUUGAAUUGGGCAUAAUAGGAACAUUAUUACAUUAAAGGAACAUCAUAGGAAUAAUUUGGUAUUUCGAGAAGAUUUUCCAGUCCCCUGCCCCAACCUACUGGAGACAGUAUGAGUGGUGACAGACACAUUUGUAACAUACGAGCAAGCUAGUGCAGCAGCUUCAGUCACAUGCUCUAGAAGCCCAUUUUGGGUCUUCCUUCAGAAGGCUCAACAAGGCCAUCAUCACACCAUUCUAGUUAGUUACUUCUGCAACGAUAUAUGUCCGUAAGAAAAUAAGAAGCUAGGGUUCUAGUAGACUUAUAGUGCUCUAACAGCACCACGUUGGAUAUGCCCGCACAAAUAAAAUAACAUGAAUUGAGUCUAUAUGUAAGAACAUAUCUUGUCACCAGUCAACUACUAGUACAGUAAGAGCAUCAAAGAGGAAUUCAUUUCAUAUAGAAUAGUCGCAAUCAUAUACUUUUGUUCUGCACAUACUGCUCAUUAUCAUGGACAAUGAUGUAGCUAGCUAAAAGGGAGCAUGUGGCUAUAAUGUAAGCAGGGAGGCUCUAGGGACGAGCUCAACAGACAGACCUAACCUGCUCUUGCAAGGAACCAGUAAGCCUUGCUACAUUGUCACCUGCAUGUUGCAUGGCAUCGCGUCCACCAGCUAUUGUGGUAUGUCGCAACUCUUUCCUCACAUCUUUUCACCGAAGCGAUCGUUGGCGAAUUCUAAUCUUUCUGGAACAACAUUCCUAAUUCCCUGCACUAGAAGGUCAUCAUGAUACAUCGGUACAUCGGAAUUCCGGACACAUUAACAAAAUCUUUGCCCAAAUCAAAUUAAGGGAGAAAUGAGAAAUGAAGGAGAGAACCAAAUAGUAAGUUAGAUUAUAUAUAUAUACAUACAUAUAUAUAUAUGACAUGGAUACACUUCCGGUUGUUUUUACUAUGAACGAUAUAUAUNNNNNNNNNNNNNNNNNNNNNNNNNNNNNNNNNNNNNNNNNNNNNNNNNNNNNNNNNNNNNNNNNNNNNNNNNNNNNNNNNNNNNNNNNNNNNNNNNNNNNNNNNNNNNNNNNNNNNNNNNNNNNNNNNNNNNNNNNNNNNNNNNNNNNNNNNNNNNNNNNNNNNNNNNNNNNNNNNNNNNNNNNNNNNNNNNNNNNNNNNNNNNNNNNNNNNNNNNNNNNNNNNNNNNNNNNNNNNNNNNNNNNNNNNNNNNNNNNNNNNNNNNNNNNNNNNNNNNNNNNNNNNNNNNNNNNNNNNNNNNNNNNNNNNNNNNNNNNNNNNNNNNNNNNNNNNNNNNNNNNNNNNNNNNNNNNNNNNNNNNNNNNNNNNNNNNNNNNNNNNAUACAUAUAUAUACAUACAUACAUAUAUAUACAUACAUACAUAUAUAUAUAUACAUACAUAUACAUACAUACAUAUAUAUAGAUACAUACAUAUAUAUAUAUAUACAUACAUACAUUUCAUAGUAAAAACAACCGGAAGUGUAUCCAUGUUGUUUGCUUAGGAAUCAAGGUCCUAUUCACUGGGAUGAUAAACCUACUAAAUAAAAGGGUUCUCAAAGUCCCUUCAGAACUAGAGUCGAGUAACACAGUCAUGGUCCCAUGGGGUUUCAGGAUAACGACAUGCAAAUGUGGUUAACACAAUCAGCUCUCUCAUUAAGAUUUGUCUUAUUUUUUAUCACUACGGGAAAAUUCAUGUUUGCCGAGUGUUAGUGUCUUUGUUGAGUGCAUUAUGUUGGGCACUCGGCAAACAUAUCUUUGCCGAGUGUAAUCCUGAAACAUGGUAAACAUGUGCUUUGCCCACUGCCGUGGAAAAAAACUCUGGCAAAAAAGUUAUAGUUACUAAAAGGUGCUUUGUUGAGUGUCUUGGAAAUAACUCUCGUCAAAAUAGUAGAACUCGGGCAAAGAUGUGCUUUCCCGAGUGCUACACUCGGCAAAAGGGGGUAUGCACUGUGCUCACUGUUUUGGCUGUCGAGAUUGCAUACAACCUCGGAUGAAGAUGAUCCAAAAAUCAAAGUUUUUCAUUUCGACAAGAUGAAUAGUUUUCAUGUUGAGGACCUUUUCAUUUUAGGCCAUAUUAUUUACACUUUUUGCCAUGCCAAAAUAUGGUCCCAAAUGAAUAAGGCGGUGGUCAUAUUUAUUGCAUAGUUUAUGACUAUGGGCCUAACCUUGGCAUUUAUGUGCAUCUUGCCAUUACAAACAAUUUUGCCAAAUAGAGUUUCCAACAUUUUGUACAAAAAUAAUUUUUUUAUUUUUGAAGCGUAAAAAAUUGAUACUUUUGGAAGCUGGUAAAAAAAUAGAGUGCAAAAUGGCAUCACUCCAAUUUUCACAAAAAUAGACCAUGCUUUUUUAGAAAAUUCCCAUUUCUUGUGGAUUUUCUAGAUUUCUAGCUACUUUCACACAUUUGUAUGACUUUAUUAUGAUUCCGCAAAAUUAAUUCAAUUUGAACUGUAAUUGUGUGAUAGCUCUGUCCUAGAAAUUUGUAAAAAAUACUUUUAGGUACACAAGUAGUCAUUACCUGGAAAACCCACUUAGAGUUUGAGAGAUUCAACCCCUUACAUGAAUAGCCAUGCCGGCCACUUUCACCCCGUUUUGGAAAAAAUGAAACAAAAAGGAUACAAGUUCAAAAAAUGCAAUCCUUUCAUAUGGACUCCUUUUAUGUGUACUAGUGUGGAUGAAAAUACCAAACUUUCAAUAUGACAGUUUUCAAAGAAAAAUAUCCUUCGCAAAUGGGCUAUCCUCUAUGAACAUUCAUGGCUUUCAAGUCAAUGACCAAGGUGAUGACCAUAUUCAUUGCAUAGUUUAUUAUAAUGUGCCUAAAUUAGACAUAUAGGUGAACCUUGCCAUUACAAAUAAUGUUGCAAAAUAGAGUUUCCAACUUUUUUGUUCAAAAAAAAUCAUUUUCUAUUUCAGUGUAAAAAAUGGGUGUUUUUUGUGAAGCAGGUACCAAAAACAGGGUACAAAAUGGCACCACUCCAAUUUUCACAAAAAGUAGACCGUAUUUGAUGGACAAUUCCCAAAGUGUGUAGAUUUAUCUCUUAAAAUUUAUCAAUUGGUGUAUUUUUUAAUAUUUAAUGAAAAUAUUAUAUGUAUUUUUAAUAGGAAGGGCGGAUAUUUAAAGGAUAGCAUAGACAUCUGAGGGUGUACGUUAAAGCAUUGGAGGUACCUUUAUGUGCCAGUUUACGCCAUGCUCAACCGGCAAUGUGGUAGUAUUAAUUAGUAUAUACUUUUGAUUGUAAAAGAAAUCAAUAUAUAAUUUGUUUGGAUUAUUUUAGUUUGCAGUGCAAAUUUAAAAUGGAUUUAUUUAGCCUAUUUUUGUGAAAUCACUAAUUAGGAGGUACCUUUUGCAAAGGUCACACCCCACUUUCAUUAGUGCUGAUAGGUGGCACAUGGCAUGUGUGUCCCUUGUCACAACAUGGGAAUUUCCCCCUUUUUGUAGAUUCAUUUUUUAAAAUCUUUUAUCUCUUGAACCGCGCAUUCAAAUCACGACCCAUUUUUAUCGUUGGAUUUCUCGCGCUGAGAUCUUGAAACUAGUCGCGUGUUAAUAAGUUCCGAUGAACUUUUUCUUCACGAAAAUCAAAAAUCAAAAAAAUAUGAAAAUAAAAAAUACAGAAAGCAAAAAAAGAAAAAAAACCUAAAAUCAGGGUUGUGCUUUUUUACAUUUUUGGGAAGAAAAAAUGUGCUUUCCCCUUUUGGGAAACACGGUUUUGCUUCUUGUGCAAGCAUAGGUCGUGCUUUUCCCUUUUCAAGAAGCAUAGGCCAUGCUUCUCUUGUUCUCCGGGAAGCACAUAUGUGCCUUUCCUUUCGGGGAGCACAGUUUUCUCUUUCGGAAAAGUAUAGAUGUGUUUUUCCCUUUUCAGAGAAGCACUACCUAUGCAUUUCACCGAAGAACGUGCUAUGCUUUUCCUUUUUUGAGGAAGUAUAGUUGUGCUUUCCCUUUUUUACAUGGAAGCAAAAAUUGUGCUUUCUUCCUUCUCGAGAAGCUAUGCUUCCCGCGGAAAAGCACAGCCUCAUGAAAAAACAUAAAAAUGAAUUUUUUUCAUAAAAACCUAGGGAAAACCAAGAAAAAAAGAAAACAUGUGUAAAAAAAUCUAAGCGUGUACCCAGUGCACGACACGUGGCGGCAAUUGGACGCAUCACUUGAUGCGCUCUCAGGUCCAAAAAGUAGCCUCUGUGGAAUCCCCCGAUGAGAUACCCGUUAGAUAGUUGGAGACCUCCUUGCAUCAAAUAGGAGGGUGGCCACAAAGGGGGCGCGUCCUGGUGGGCCGGCCCAGCAGCGUGCUACACUCUAGCGCAAAUUGGUCAAAAUCUAAAAAGUGAUGUGUGAUCAAAGCGCGCAUGGCUAGCCACUCAAGCUAAUGAAUCUCUGCUAACUACUAGGUCGUGUUGAACUUUAAAAAGUACUAUAUGAUACCCCGCGCGUUGUUGCGGGAACUCUUAGUACUUUACAUGAAGAAGCUUGUGGACUGAAAAUAAUUAAAUGAUGAAAAUAUACACUUUUUAAAACCUUUGGUGGUACUUGUAGGAACAUUAUGGAGUGAAAAUAAGUUAACAAUUAAUAUAUUUUUGAACCUUUGAUGGUAUUUUGAGAAUCAUGAGAGAAAUGGUAUAUUAGGAUAUCUCUGUCUUUAUGUAGUUAGAACGCGUCACCCUUUAGCGGGAAAUUAAAUGCAUCACUAACAUUAAAAAAUAAAGCAUAUAGUUUGAUGGGAAUUUCACUGAAAACAUGGCCAGCCAAGUCUAAAGCUGAAUAUUACACUGAACAGAGAGCCCAAUCAUUUCCUAACACAAAAGCACUAAUCUUGUUGAGUUAUUUGUAAUAUAGGAGCAGAAUCCCUUCGAAAGAGAAAUUCCAAAAUAUUAAAAAGAUCCAACAGUAAGACAUCCAUACACCUUCAGUUUAUACAUGGCGACAAGCUACAUACCAAUCGCUAAAAAAGGUGAAUAUAGAGUCAUGCACAUCAGGCCCUCAUGGCAUAGAUGCAUUUCUUCCACUAAAAGGACAUGCCUUAAGGGGAUUGGUGUAGGUGUGAAGAUCUGGACAUAUAAAUGGCAAGAAUGACUUCAUCUUCCUGCCCCUUCUGUGGAAACAGAGGCCCGACUUCAAUUGGGAUCCGUCGGCAUGUUGCUCCCUCUUCAUAAAAUGGAGCUGAUUGUUAUCUAAAAGCAAGCUAGGUAGAUUUGGCAUGGCCAGCAGUAGUACUUGCUACUUUGCCAGUUGUGAUGCAAGGAAGGUUGCGUGCUGCCAUGGCCGGACCCUUUGGGGUGCCAAAUGGUGUUCAAAUUUAUAGUAGGUUCCAUUUUUGGUGGGAAUCCAAGGAAAAGAAGGCAAUGGAGUAAGAUGACAACCCAUUCCCAGACUGCCACUCAAAAUCAAAAUGAAGAGGGUAAAUAAAUGUACUUACUAAGAACACACGGAUAACAUACAGCUGGCUACAGAAACAGCCAAACUUUGUAAGUCCACGGAAAUUGAGGAAAUUGUGAAAACUAUUUCUGUGAGUAGAAGGAAAUGUAGUCCAGUUACCUUUCAUGGUAAUGCUUCUCUUGAGCCGAUUCUCAGGAUCCCUGAAGAAUGUCUUUUGUUUUCCCGAAGCAGGAUUCCUUGCUAGAGCAGUACCUUUUGUUCUCUUGAGUUAAGGCAGAGUGGGAAAUACAUCACUAUCAGCUCUAGUUCAAUUGCUUGUAUUUUACAAAAACAUACAAUUGAAACAAUUAUCAGGAAAAGUUAUUACCUUAAUCGCAGCAACUCUUUGAGCAUGCAAUUUGGCGUCUUGGUGUAUAAUCUUCAUGUGUAAACAAUUUGUUUUAGCAUCUAGACUCUAUAAUUAAAAUUAAUAAGCUCUUUAAAAGCCGAAGGCAACUAUAUAGACCAAUACAAUUAAACAAAGGCAGCGGGUAGGUUUCAAAUUUGAAGUAGCAGGGAUCCAUAGUUAACUCUCCAUCAUGCAGGCAUUUAGUGUAGUAGAUACAAGACAUACGUGUGACAGAUUGCAUAUGAACAACAUUUAUUAGUAGGAAAAUUGUACUACCGUAUAUUGCACUAACACUAACUAUAUGAAGAAGCCAAUAGCAUGUAAUUUCAGCUUGCAAGAAAGCACCACUUACUCUUAUAGAUCGGCUAAUCUACAUGGCAACUUCCGAGGAUGGUGAUGGAUAAGUACAGUUGGAUCGUUUUUAGGUGUUAAUCUAUUAUUAUAAAAAUCAUCUUCCUUUACUUUCAAGGGAGAACUCUAGAGGGGAAAGAACAACAUUUUUUAAUUUAAUGAUCCAUCACUUAUUCACAACUAUUGCAAUAACCAAGUAUGUUGGAUGCAAGGAGGAGGUGAGAGUGCAGGCAACAGGUAUGUCACAUCAUGCGAACAGGUGGGGAUCAUGUUAAGUCAAUGCAGAAGGAUGCGUUGUGUGUCCGCGCACCGUCAACACUACUGAGUAAAUAGUAAACUAAACCUGGGGACCAGCGUUCUUGACCUUCCUAGCUACUUCUGGCAUAGGGGGAAUAUUUGAGGAUUUAUAGUGCUGACAUUAGGGUUAGGAGNNNNNNNNNNNNNNNNNNNNNNNNNNNNNNNNNNNNNNNNNNNNNNNNNNNNNNNNNNNNNNNNNNNNNNNNNNNNNNNNNNNNNNNNNNNNNNNNNNNNNNNNNNNNNNNNNNNNNNNNNNNNNNNNNNNNNNNNNNNNNNNNNNNNNNNNNNNNNNNNNNNNNNNNNNNNNNNNNGUGUCUUCUGGCCUCCUCCCGAAGCUUCCUAGGUUUCUUCUGGUCCAAGAAAAAUCAUCGUAAAGGUUUAUUCGUUUAGACUCCGUUUGAUAUUCCUUUUCUGUAAAACUCAAAAACAAGAAAAAAACAGAAACUGACACUGGGCUCUGGGUUAAUAAGUUGGUCCCAAAAAUAAUAUAAAAUAACAUAUUAAUGCAUAUAAAUCAUCCAAAAUAGGUAAUAUAAUAGCAUUGAACAACCAAAAAUUAUAGAUACUUGGAGACGUAUCAGGAUCAUGUUAAGUCGAUGCGAAAGGAUGCAUUGUGUGUCCGCGCACUGGAUGCUUGCAUUUAUAUGGUUCUAUCAGCGUCGCCGAAUAAACUAAAUCUGGGGAUCGGUGCUCUUGACCUUCCCAACUACUUCAACUGGAAAUCAGAUACUCCAUGCCAAAUAAGAAAGACCGUUCAGGUCGUGCUGAUAGAGAGGAAAGAGACCACUCACCUCCGACAAUGGCACGUGUGGCUCGCCUGAAGGUCGUUGGGUUGAAUCCACGGUGUUGGGCUAGCGUAGCACCCAUUGGCGGCAAUCAUGGGGCUCCAAGAUGGCGUCACCGUGUAGAUGUCUGGUGUUGUUGGCCAUAGACGGUUUUGUCAAAGGCGACACAUUAUGGAAAGAUGGAGAGAUAAAAGAGGGGAGGAGAAGAACCAGGAAGACAAUAGAGAUUUAUUGGUGAAGGGGAGAUGAACGGAAUCAUCGGGCGAAGAGGUGAUGGCUCGUGUCCGCAUUAGUAUUUUCCCCAAAGAGGAAGGGAUGAUGCAACACAGCUACGAUAGGUAUUUCCCUUAGUGAUGAGACCAAGGUUAUCGAACCAGUAGGAGAACCACGCAACACUAUGUAAACGGUACCUGCACACAAAGAACAAAUACUUGCAACCCGACGCGUAAGAGGGUUUUCAAUCCCUCCCGGUAAAAGAUAGAUUGGUUUCUAGUAGAUUGGAUAAAUAGAUCUCGCGGAAACGCAAAAUAAAAUAAAUAACAAAAAAUUGCAUCAAGGUAUUUUUGGGUUUUUAGAAUAAUAGAUAUCUAUACCUACUAAUAAAAGAAAUAGGUAUUCUUCGUCCGUCAUGCUAUUUUGUAGAAACCCCCCUGAUGUUUCUGACAUUAAACCCGCAGUACAUAUCAAGUGCUUUUUAAAAUACUCAUAAUUAUAAACCAUAACUCCAAAUUUAACAUAUUAUAUAUGGAAUUUAAUUAGAAAAUUAUGUAGAAUCUAAAUAUGAUGUUAUUUUACCUGUUAACAAUUUUUAAAAUAAACUAUCUAGGAUGCAAUGUUAAUCAACAAUGCAUUAUUCGUCUUUUUUAUACCGGUAUUGAUUUAGAUUGGGGAUGAAAACCUCAACAAAAUCAGGAUUGGACAUUAGAUUGAAGAUAAAUUUGUUAGAGACACUGAAUAAAUAUGGGCAUGCAUGACAAGAAAUAAAAAGAUCCAAUAAAGAUGGGAUGUCCGCUAUAAAAAUAAAUAAAAGAGAAAAUGCAGAGGAGAUCCGAUAAAGAUGAGAUGUUGCGCUAUUCUCCUAUAUAUAAGAAGAGCAAAAGGAGGACAUGCAUGAAAAAAGGUAAAAAGGAGGCAUGCAUGAAAAAAAAUACAAGUUUUAUAAGAAAUAAAUAGUGAUUGAAACAGGGACCAAUACUAAUGACAUGUAUGGCAAGAAAUAGUGAUGAAAUAGGGGCGCAAGUACCUGAGUCAACAGGAGACCAUAAAAAUGUUCUUUUCCAGACCAAAAAACCUAUUUUAUAAUUAAAAAAUCUUGUACCUUUUUAACAACCUUUUUAACUCUUCAUGUAUUUAAGAAAUAGCUACAAAUUCUCGGAUUAUAAAACAUUUUUUGUAAAUUAAGAGCGUGUGGUACUUUUUCCCGUCGCAACGCACGGGCCUUUUUGCUAGUGAAAAUAAAAGAGGCAAAUAAUAGAUCGGAAAGCAAAUAUGAUAAAGAAUAGACCCGGUGGCCGUAGAUUUCACUAGUGGCUUCUCUCCACAAAAAUAGCAUACAGUGGGUAAACAAAUUACUGUUGGGCAAUUGAUAGAACUUAAAAUAAUUAUGAAGAUAUCCGGGCAAUGAUCAUUAUAUAGGCAUCAUGUCCUAGAUUAGUAGACCUACUCCUUCCUGCAUCUACUACUAUUACUCCACACAUCGACCGCUAUCCAGCAUGCAUCUAGUGUAUUAAGUUCAUGGAAAAAUGGAGUAAUGCAAUAAGAAUGAUGACAUGAUGUAAACAAGAUCUAUUCAUGUAGGAAUAGACCCCAUCUUGUUAUCCUUAAUGCAACGACCAAUAUGUGUCUUGCUGCCCCUUUUGUCACUGGGAAAGAACACCGCACGACCGAUCCCAUCACAAAGCACCUCUUCCCAUGGUAAGAAAAAUCGAUCUAGUCAACCUAACUAAACCAAAGAUUCGAAGAAGAAUACGAGGCUAUAAGUAAUCAUGUGUCUAAGAGAUCAAAACUCAAAUAACUUUCAUGUAUAAAAUAGAUCUGAUCAUAAACUCAAAGUUCAUCGGAUCCCAACAAACUCACCGCAAAAAGAGUUACAUCAAAUAGAUCUCCAAGAGACCAUUGUAUUGAGAAUCAAAAGAGAGAGAGGAAGCCAUCUAGCUACUGCCUACGGACCCGUAGUUCUACAAUGAACUACUCACGCAUCAUCGGAGAGGUACCAAUGAGGAUGAUGAACCCCUCUGUGAUGGUGUCUAGAUUGGAUCUCAUGGUUCCGGAACUUGCGGCAGCUCGAAUUGUGUUUCGUCGAAUCCCCUAGGGUUUUUGGAUUUUCGGGGUAUUUAUAGAGCAAAAAGGUUGUGCGGGAGGGCACCGAGGUGGGCACAACCCACCAGGGCACGCCUGGGCCCCUAGGUGCGCCCAGGUGGGUUGUGUCCCCUGGGGGCACCCCUCUGGUACUUCUUUGGCCCAAGUUGUUCCUUCUGGUCUAGAAAAAUUCUCCAAAAAGUUUCGCUGUGUUUGGACUCAGUUUGGUAUUGAUUUUCUACGAAGUAAAUAACAAGCAAAAAAUAACAACUGGCACUGGGCACUAUGUCAAUAGGUUAAUAAAAUGAUAUAAAGUUGCUAUAAAAUGAUUGUAAAAUAUCCAAGAAUGAUAAUAUAACAGCAUGGAACAAGCAAAAAUUAUAGAUACGUUGGAGACGUAUCAAGAGGCAAUAAGAGGAAGGCGCGGCAAUCAGUUCGACGGUAGUAAAAAAUUACGCGAUUCGUUUCGUUGAAAAGGGAAAAAGGAAGCAUUGGUGACGUGGCAGAUUUUCUUACGUGGAUGGCUGCAUGUUGAUUGCUGAUGUGGAUAGGCUACAUGUCAAGAGAAAUACGGUACUGCGGAUGAACUAUUUAGGUAUUAUAGAUGCGCAACAUCACAUCUAAACUCUUUAUGAAAUUACAAAACACGAUGGUUUUUAAAAUGGAUAUAUUUUGGAACCCAAUUUUUUUAAAUUUAUGAAUAAAUUUUUGAAAACUUGAACAAUUUCUUGAGUCUAUGAACAAUUUUUUGAACACGAACUUUUUUUCAAAAUUUCAAAAUGCAAUUAUUUUUUUAAUGCAACCUUUUUCAAAAUUCAAAAACAUGAUUGUUUGUAAAGUGAAUAUGUUUUUAAAAUUCUAGACUAAAUUUGCAAGUUGAAUAUUUUUUGAGAAACACUCGAAAUUGUGGACGUUUUCUAAAACGACAAAGAACUUUGAAAAACAUCAAACAUUUUUCAAAUCACGGAUUCUGGGAAAAAAAACAAAUUCCAAACAUAUUUUAGAAAUUUUGUAUUUAUGAAAAAAGAAAAAGAAACAGAAAAUGAAAAAAGAAAGAAAGCAAGGAAAAGCAGUGAAGAAAUAAAACAGAAAAAAGGAAAAAACCUGAAAAUAGUGGUAAAGACUGAUCCUAGCUACUUGGGCUGGUCCAUCUAUGGUUUACUCGCUGCUCAUUUCGGAGAUUUCUUUUAGGGGUAAAACCAAGUUUUAUACAUCAAAAACCAUAGAGUGUGGGAUAGAGUUUGGGUCAUGGCAUUUUCCAAAGCAAACAUUGCGUCCCAGACCUAACGAAAGAGAAAACCUGCCUAGAUUAUGUGCUUCGACAUUUACAGAAUGAUCUUUAGAUAAAAAAAUACAAUGAAAUAAAUACGGUUGCAACUUGAUCUCGUUGAUAAUGGCUCGUUUCCACAUAGUUUGCUCACACUUUUGAGAGAAAAUUUAGCCUUGAUGGGCUGGGAAAUUGGGCCAGCCAUCCUCAAGUGUGACUGGCUUGUCUUUGUCUAGUAUAAAUCCCAUCACGUUGCCCAAGAGCCCACCCUUAUCUAUUUUUCUACAGGACCCAUAUGUGUUUGGUUCCUUCAGCACGAUGGGCCGCCUCCCAGCCUCCCUCGCCCGCUCGAUAGCUCCCCCGCCAAUAGAGUUAGGCCCUCGACCCUCCCCCACCCCAAGGUUGCGAGCAUGUCCCUUCCCGACAUCUCUUCCACACGGCCUCGUCCCACCCCAUGUUCUCCCCCAAGUGCUUUGUCGAGUGUCGUGGAAAAAUAUUCUUGGCAAGAUAGUGGAACUCACGCAAAAUGUGCUUUAUCGAGUGCUACACUCGGCAAAAGGGGGUAUGCAGGGAAGCAAAAUCGUGCUUUUUUUCCUUCUCGGGAAGCUGCGCUUCCCGUGGAAGGCUUCAUCAAAAACCAGAAAAAAAGAUUUUUUUUCAUCAAAACCUAGGGAAAAUAAAAGAAAAAAACACGUGUAAAAAUAAAAUCUUAAGGGUGUACCUGCACACGACAUGUGGCCGCAGUUGGGCACAUCACUUGAUGCGCUCUCAGGGCCUCAAAGUAACCUCUGCAGGAACCCUCGACAAGAAACCCAUCAGAUAGUUGGAGUCCCCCUUGCGUCAAAUAGGAGUGUGGCCACAAGGGGAGCGCGUCCUGGUGGGCCGGCCCAGUAGCCUGUAGCACUCUACCGGAAAUUUGUCAAAAUCUAAAACAUGACGUUUGAGCAAAGCUCGCAUGGCUAGCCAGUCAAGCUGAUGAAACUUUGCCAACUACUAUGUCGCGUUGAUCAGUAAAAAUUAUGUGCAACAUCACAUAUGAAAAAAAAUUGGAAUUUCAAAACACGAUUGUUUUUAAAAUGAACUAGUAAAGUGGCCCGCUCGAUGUGCGGGCUAGAUUUUUAAGUUUUUUUAAUAAUAUCAUAUUGUUUGAUUUGGCUAAAGAAAAAUUGGAACCCAAUAUGACGACUUUAUUGUGCGGGCUCAAUCUUUGAAUCGUUUAUUAUGUUUUAUGAUUGAAUUUCUUAUCUGUAGUAAGUCAAUACAUAAUUAUGACGACUUUAUUGUGCGGGCUCAAUCAAUAUUAUUAUUUACUGUUAUUCUUCUUAUUGUUAUUGUUAAAAAAACAAUGUUAAAGUCAACCCAUUUGAAAAAAACUAAUUUAAUGUAAGUAUAGUAUCUAAAGUCCUAGUAUAGUAAUUUCAUUUUAAUUUAAUUUUAUUGUAUUCUUCCAUUUUGAAAAUGUAUUUUUAUUAUGAAUCUAGCACUUUAGUUAAAAUACAAAUAAAAGUACUACAUUACUGAUCCCAACAUUAAACAAGAAUGUGUACAUAAACUUGUCUUUAUCAUCGAUGAAUUACAACCAGAUCAUAUGUUUAAAUAAUGGAUAUUUAUAUUAUGAAUCAACCAAGCAUAGUUCUUUUGAUCUCGUAGAUUGUGAUUUUCCAAUAGUGUCUUGUCUUUUUGUUUAUGUGCAAAUAAUAGUUCACCUAUCAUAUUUUACGAGAAUGGGAAACAAAUAUAAGAAAUAGAACUGAAAGAAUUAUAUGGACGUCUAUUCUUGGAAAAUUGUUUAUGGUGUCACCAUCUCGUUCACGUGUGAGUAUGCAAUCUAAUUUCUAACAUGGCAUUCUUUCAUGCGUGAAGAAAUUUCAAGUUAUCACAACGCGACAUGAGUUCGAUAGAAUAUUAACUCAUUCGAAAAAAAAGAUAUGUACAUACAAAACUAAUGAAGUAACUUCAGUAAAAAUUAAUAUGUUACCCAAGAUUUUGAGGGACUGUGAUUUUGAAGGGGUAUUACAUUUUUGUAAUGUUAACUUGACACAUUGGUGAGAAACACAAUUCGAAUAGAAUACACUAAAGCUGAGAAAACAGAACUUUGUUGAACAAUAAUUAACCGGCUAAGAACUUACAAUGUAUCAUGCCUUUGCUGUUAACAACUAUAUGCAGCAGUAUUUUUUUUAUAUUUAUAAUUAUCACUCAAACUAACUUUUUAGAAAGCAUACUAAUUAGUUAGAUAUUCAGGGAUGCAUUGAUAACAGUAAUCGCUAUCGUCUAGCCUUGCCUCCUGUCUGAUGCACUACAAGCAAAGGAUUCAAAACUACGUUUUCCUGUAAUGUAAAACAAUAAUACUUCAUGGAGAUCAUGUUUGCAUGUGCAUAUGGAAUUCAUCAAUAGUAGGUAGAAAAGUCCUAGCUAGCUUAGCUUAGCUUAGGAUAACGCCCUGGCAUCUAAACUGCUUCAUAUAUGCAAUCCAAUUGUAUGGGUCAAAUAUACAAAACCUGAAGCUCAUGGUCUAGAUGUUUCAUUGAUAAUAUCAUUUCCACCAGACUGGCGACCGAUUAUACAGUAGUCUACCUGUAUUGUUUAACACUGAGAUACCGCAUCAGCCAAAUCAUAGCACCUGAGGUGCCUCUUCUAGUGGACGGUGAGAGCAUAUCUGUAAUAAUCAUCCUUUGUAUAACAUUAUUUAUACCUCCAAAUGUUGCACCACACAUGUUCAUCUUUAGAGUCAAGCCCUAUUGCAGCGCAGGUUGUGCUUGGCCAGCACCUUCGUGAUGAACUUGCCAGUGACCACAGUGCAAGCAACUACCAGUACCCAGGAAGCCUCGACGAAGCCAAUGACGUACUGCUCUAUUUCGCGCCGGUGCCAUGUGGCCCACUUGUUUCCCUGAGCAUGUCGGUAUCGACAAAGGAACGAUAGUCGCUAGAUUAAAGGGAAGUGAGAUGGAAAGACACACUCGAGGAGGAAGAUGUUUAGGACUAUGUAUUUGCAUACUCUUUUGGAUCAAGGACGUGGGAUGUAAGUACGGUGUUUGCCUUUUUUUUCUUUCUCUUUUUAGCUUUGAAGGGAUGUGUACAUGUUUUUUUUAUGUCUACAUGCUUGAUUUUUUUUCCUCUGGAGGGAUAUGUACUUGUUUGUAUUUUUAAAAGGUUGGGGGAUCAUNNNNNNNNNNNNNNNNNNNNNNNNNNNNNNNNNNNNNNNNNNNNNNNNNNNNNNNNNNNNNNNNNNNNNNNNNNNNNNNNNNNNNNNNNNNNNNNNNNNNNNNNNNNNNNNNNNNNNNNNNNNNNNNNNNNNNNNNNNNNNNNNNNNNNNNNNNNNNNNNNNNNNNNNNNNNNNNNNNNNNNNNNNNNNNNNNNNNNNNUAUAUAUGUGGGAUAUGUACGUGCUUGUAUUUUUAAAAGGCUGGGGAUCAUUCAUUUUGUACGCACUUGUUUUUGUUUCAAAUGUAUAUACGUGCCUGAUGGAUAUGUGUGGGGACGUUCUUUUUUUUUCCAUGAUGGAUGAACGAUGUGGGAUGUGUAUUUUUUUAUAUCUGGGGGGUACACUCUUUUUUAGUGUCCACCGGGUUAUGAAGAUCUAAGGCCUAUGAUUUAUUAGUACAGAGAAGUUCUAUUAAAUCAACCAUCGGAUACUUCUGAUUUUUAUAGAAUUUUUGAUCAUAUUUCUCUUUGUUAGUUAACCUGCUAUUUACUUUUAAUAUAUAGUAGAUACUAUAUAUGCAGUACGUGACCAUGUAUGAGUUUGUGAGGGAUUCUCUAUAUACACAUAUGUGCGUUUGUUUUUUCCUUAUGGAACAGAUGUGCAUGCACGUGCUUUCCAAUUAACAUGGUAGGCUUGCCAAAAAAAUUAACGUGAUUCCUCACGCAACAUCUUUUUUUAUAGAAGAGCUCUGACAACCGAAUAAUCCAGGCUUUUUUUCUAGAUUGGAAAAUAUCUACGUGGGACAUGUGCCACGUAAAUCCUUAGAGGCCCAUCAUAUUAUAUAUGUUACGUAAAUUGAACGGUCACGUAAUCUUAAUUUUAAGAGAUUUACCGGAUCGAGGGUUAUUAUUUUCUAAUUAAUGUGGAAUUUUAUAACCUAUUUCUCUCCCUUCUGGUUCACCGUAUAUUACUUUUAGUAUAUAAAAUAGAUGGUUUUUGGAACAUGGACUUUUUCCAAAUUUAUGAAUAAAAUUUGAAAACUAGAGCAAUUUUUGACUAUAUCAAGGUUUUUUUCAAACACAAACUUUUUUUGAAAUUUUAAAACACGAUUAUUAUUUUAAUACAACCUUUCUUAGAUUUCAAAACACGUUUUUAAUGAAUAUUUUCUUAAACCCUACCAAAAGUUGAAAAUUUGAACAUUUUCAAAAACACUCCGAAGUGUGGACAUUUUCUAAAAAACGUGAAAGGAUUUAGGAAAACUUCAAACUUUUUCAAAGCACGAAUAAUUUUUGGGAAAAAUGAAACAAAAUCAAAUUCCGAACAGUUUUUGAACAUUUUUUUAGAAAUGUUGAAUUUAUGAAAAAAAAGGAUAAAUUAUGAAAGAAACGAAAAUCGGUGAAGAAGAAAACAAGAGAAGGAAAAAAACUAAAAAAUAGUGUAAGAAAAAAACACCAAUACUAGCUACUUGGGAUGGUACAUAUGCGGUUUGCUCACUGCACAUUUCCUAAAAUUUUUUAGGGGUAAAAGCAAGUUUUAAUCAUCAAACACCAUAGAGUGUGGGAUAGAGUUGGGGUCGUGGCAUUGGUUAAACCCAACGCGGCGUCCCAGACCUAACGAAAGAGAAAGACUGGCUAGACUAUGUGCUUCGACAUUGAUAGCAUGACCUUUACAAGAAAAAUUACUAUCAAAUAAAGAUGGUUGCAACUUAAUCUCGUUGAUAAUGGCUCGUUUCCCACAUAGUUUGCUCACAGUUUUUGAGAGAAAAUUUAGCCUUGAUGGGCUGGGAAAUCGGGCCAACCAAUCUCAAGUGCGACCGACUCAUCUUUGUCCACUAGAAAGCCUGCCACGUCGCCCAAGAGCCAACCCUUAUCUUUUUUUUACAGGACCCGUAUAUGUUUUAUUCCUCCAGCAAGACCGGUCGCCGCCAAGCCUCUCUCGCCCGCUCGACAGCUCCCCCCGCCGCCGGGGCUAAGCCCUGGAUCCCCCUACCCCCAGGUUGCGAGCUUGUCCCAUCCCUCCCUCUCUUCUGCGUAGCCUCGCCCCACCUCGUCUUCUCCCCCACCGGUGCUUUGCCUAGUUUCUUGGAAAAAACUCUCGAUAAAAUAUUGGAACUCUGGCAAAAUGUGCUUUCCUGAUUGCUACACUCGGCAAAAGGGGGUAUGCACUGCACUGUUUUGGUUGUCCAUAUUGCAUACGACCUCGGAUGAAGAUGAUCCCAAAAUCAAAGUUUAUCAUUUUGACAAGAUGAUUAAUUUUCAUGUUCAGAACUUUUCCAUUUUAAGCCAUGUUAUUUACACAUUUGGCAAUGCCAAAAUAUGGUCUCAAAUGAAUAUGGCGGUGGUCAUAUUUAUUGCAUAGUUUCUGACAAUGGGCCUAAAGUUGGCAUUUUGUUGCAUCUCGCCAUUACAAACCAUGAUGCCAAAUAGAGUUUCCAACAUUUUGUACAAAACUAAUUUUCCCAUUUUCUAAGUGUAAAAAAUGGAUAUUUUGUGAAGCGGGUAAAAAAACAUAGUGCAAAAUGGCACCACCCCAAUUUACAUAAAAAGUAGACCACAUGUUUUAGAAAAUUCCCAGGUUUUGUGGAUCUUCUAGAUUUCUAGCUACUUUCGCACAGUUAAAUUCAAAUUUGAACUUUAAGUCUGUGAUAGCUUUGUCCUAAAAAUUAGCAAAAAUGUAAUCUAUUUUUUUAGGUAUGCAAGUAGUCAUUUUAUGAAAUCACCACUUAAGUUUGAGAGAUUCAGGCCCUUGCCGUGACUAUCCAUGCCGGGCAUUUUGACCCCGUUUUGGAAAAAUGAAACAAAAAGGAUACAAGUUCAACAAAAUGCAAUCCAUUCGUAUGGACUCCUUUUAUGUGUACUAGCUAGGACGAAAAUACCAAACUUCAAUAUGAAAACUUUGAAAGAAAAAUAUCCAUCACAAAACGGGCUAUCAUGUAUGAACCUUCACGGCUUUCAAGUCAAACGACCAAGGUGACGACAAUAUCCAUUCCAUAGUUUAUUAUAUUAUGCCCAAAUUAGACAUAUAGGUGAAUCAUGUCAUUGCAAAUAAUGUUGUAAAAUAGAGUUUCCAACUUUUUGUACAAAAAAUCAUUUACUAUUUUCUAAGUAUCAAAAAUGGGUGUUUCUUGUGAAGUGGGUUCAAAAAAUAGAGUGGAAAAUGGCACCACUCCAAUUUUCACAAAAAGUAGACCAUAUUAGAUGGACAAUUCCCAAGUUUUGUAGAUGUCUAGCUAAAAACUAACAAUUGGUGUAUUUUUUAAUAUUUAAUGAAAAUAAAAAAUGGGAAGGGCGGAUACUUAAUGGAUAACAUGGACAUCUGAGGGUGUACCUUUAAGUGUUGGAGAUGCCUUUAUGUGCUGGUUUAUGUCGUGCUCAACCUGCAAUGUACUAGAGUUAAUCAUGUUGGGUAACGGUGCAUGGAAAAACAAAAAAAAUCUAUGCACACGCAAUGAUCUAUCCAUGGAGAUGCAUAGCAACGAGGGGGAGAGUGUGUCUACGUACCCCCAUAGACCAAAAGCGGAAGCGUUUGACAAUGCGGUUGAUGUAGUCAAACUUCUUCUAGCUCCGACCGAUCAAGCACCGAACGUACGGCACCUCCGAGUUCUGCAUAUGUUUAGCUCGGUGAUGUCUCUCGUCUUCUUGAUCCAGCAAGACGUCGAGGAACUAGAUGAGUUCCGUCAGCACGACAGCGUGGUGAUUAUGAUGGUGAAGUGAUCCACGUAGGGCUUCGCUUAAGCACCGCGAGAAUAUGACCGGGGGUGUAAACUGUGGAGGGGGCGCCGCACACGGCUAACAAUUGAUGUUGUGUGUUCUAGGCGCCCCCUUCCCCACAUAUAUAUAGGUGGGAGGGGAGGGGAGGCAGCCAGGGGGCACCCCAAGUAGGAUCUGAAUCCUACUUGGGGUUUCCCCAAGUGACGCCCCCCCCCCUUCCUUUUUUCCACCGGAGAAGAAAGGAAGGGGGAAGAAGAGAAGGAAGGGAGGCUGAACCCCCUCUUCUCCUUCUCCUAUUUGGCCACUUGCCAUAGGGGAGGCGCGCCACCCCUUGUGGGCUGGUGUGAUCCCCUCUCAUGGACCAUAUGGCCCAUAUAUUCCCCCCUGGGGGUUCCGACAACCCACCCCCCCUCCCCCGGUACUCCUAUAAAUACCCGAUACAUUCGGGAACACUUCCGGUGUCCGAAUACUAUCAUCCUAUAUAUCAAUCUUUACCUCUCGACCAUUUCGAGAUUCCUCGGCAUGUCCAUGAUCUUAUCCGGGACUCCAAACAACAUUCGGUCACCAUAUCACAUAACUCAUAUAAUAUAAUAUCAUUAUCGAACGUUAAGCGUGCGGACCCUACGGGUUCGAGAACUAUGUAGACAUGACCGAGACACCUCUCCGGUCAAUAAACAAUAGCGGAACCUGGAUGCUCAUAUUGGAUCCUACAUAUUCUACGAAUAUCUUUAUCGGUCGAACCGUUAUGACAACAUACAUUAUUCCCUUUGUCUAUCGGUAUGUUACUUGCCCGAGAUUCGAUCGUCGGUAUCUGCAUACCUAGUUCAAUAUCAUUACUGGCAAGUCUCUUUACUCGUUUUGUAAUACAUCACCUUACUAACGGAUGGGUCUUGUCCAUCACAUCAUUCUUCUAAUGAUGUGAUCCCGUUAUCAAAUGACACCUCAUGUCCAUGGUUAGGAAACCUUAACUAUCUUUGAUCAACGAGCUAGUCAAGUAGAGGCUCACUAGGGGCAUAGUGUUUGUCUAUGUAUUCACACACGUAUUAAGGUUUUCGAUCAAUACAAUUCUAGCAUGAAUAAUAAACAUUUAUCAUGAAUAAGGAAAUAUAAAAUAAGAACUUUAUUAUUGCCUCUAGGGCAUAUUUCCUUCAAAUCAGUAUAUGUGUGCAUGCUUGGUUGUUAGUGAAAUGUUUUAUGUAUAUGUGUACAUGCUUGGUUGGGCCAACUUUGUGUAUUACAUUUUGUGAAAUACAAACUUGAUAUAUGCCACAUUUGUGUUAACGACCAAUAAGUAUAUACAUAACUAUAUUUUGCCUUCUUUUUCCUCCUCCACAAGAAAAGGUCCCACGCUUUUCUCCUCUCCAAUUGGCGCCGUAGCUGGUCCGCCCCAUCUUUGAUGGCCUUUGGGCCCUUUAGUACCGUACCGAACCAGCAGCCUUCGCGCCAAGCGACGACCGCCCUUGUCCCUUUCCUUUUUCCAUUCAGCCUACUUCUUAGCUUUGUUCCGUCAGUCUAAGGCAAAGCUUAAGUGGUUUGCCUACCUUACCCACUUGAUGAAAGGGAACGGACUUCAUUUCCUUGGUGGCUUUAUGGAUGGAUUCAGUCAGAAAAACUCCUUCCUUUUGAAAAAAGUGACACCACGAAGGUGAGUAGGACCUCAGGCCCUCGUUGGCGGGAGGGAACCUGCUCUCAUUCUUUUUUGGUUCAAUGUUUUGCUGGAGCUGUGUUGCGGCUAUGAUGUCUCUCAGUAGGAAUAAUGUUUCACAUGUUCUAUCCCUGUCUCGAUGGUGCCUCUAGCAUCAUCAUAGGGCAUGUGGAGGUGUGUCUCUAUCGGAUUUCGCAGGAUUCGGUCGGCAUUGGUCUUCGGUGGAUCUGUUUGGACACGGUCUAUGUUCAUCUUUGUGGUGUUUAUACUAUUGAUCCUUCCGAUCUAUGACUUUCUUCAUCGAUGAUGGUUGCUGCUUCGGUGCGCUGGUCCUUUGGGUCCUUAGCACGACAACUUCCUGACUAUUGACUACACCAAGGUUUGCCCNNNNNNNNNNCGAUGCACAGCUUUCUUUAGUGCUUGUAGUCAUCGCUAGGUGGUCCAUGGACCUGGUUGUAAUUUUUUGUAUCUCUGGUGUUCUUUGUACUGCCAUGAUUGAAGAUGAAUAGAUUGGAAGUUUCUCACGCAAAAAUAUUUAUAUAAAUAACUAUUUUAGCAAAAUUCGCAAAAAAGACUAUUUUAGCAAGUAAUAAAUUUUGACACCAAUUAUAUGGUAGUAAUUAAUAUUUCCCCUAAUAAUAUCCGCAUUGGAUCCAGGUUUUAUACUAUGUAUACAGACGGGAGUAUGUUUGGAUAAUUGUGUGAAUACAAGGAUAUAUCUUAGCAAAACUAUUUUUAGCAACAAGUAAAUGAAUUAAUAUAUGCUAGCUAUACUCUGCUGGUGAAAACAUGGUGUAUUAGUUGUACAAAGCAUGCAACACGGUUUCACUCCCCUUUAUAUUCCUGGGCGGAACACAAUUUCAGAUCCAAGUUUUAUGUUUGUCUACACACUCCCAUCUUCUUCCCAUAUCAGCAGGAAAAUUCACUCCAAUCAUCUCGCCAUUCUACACUUGGGAAAUCAGGUUUGCUUCAAUCUACCAUCCUUGAAUAUAUGCCCCACAUCUUGUUUCUGCGUCCUAAUCUUAUUAAGCUUGUAAUUAGUAGUUAGUGCAAGAUCAAAAAGGAGCUAUGGGCAAAACACCAUCCGCACCUGCUGAUAAAAUCACCAUAGGACAAGCGGCGCCUAAUCAUGAAAUAGCAGGAGAUUCAAGUGACAGUGAGAGAACAAUCAGUGAGGGUUAUGUGGGGAUCAUGUAUGGUGGUAGCCAAACCCACGAUGGCAACCUGGAAGGAGAAUCUGAUAUGGUAUUGCUAGCAACAGAUUCAAGUGACAGCGAGAGAACAAUCAGUGAGGGUUAUGUGGGGAUCCUGUAUGGUGGUAGCCAAACCCAAGAUGGAGACCUGGAGGGAGAAUCGGCUAUGGUAUUGCCUGCUGUAGGAGAGAAUACCACGGCGAGAUCUAACAGUCAUGGUCAUACGCGUAGCUUGGAAAUUGAUUCUACCUCUCGUACUGGGAGGCAUGCUGCCAGGUCAGAUUCUGUUCUAGUGGCACAACGCCGAGACUGCAUACAAAUUUACCCUGAGUGGCUGGAGAAAAUUGAUUCAGGCAAAAAGAUGUGGAUAGCUCUCAAAAAAUUUCGAGCAAAUGGGAAGCAUGAAGAGGUUAGUAUAUACACAUGUUCUGGUGUGCUCUCUCAUCAAAUAAUUUUCAUUGUGGGUUAAUCAUCUCAUAACAUAAGGAGUGUUUGCUUGAUGGGCAUUCAAACCAAAUGAUGAACGAAUUAGAUCCUAGGUUCUCCAAAAGAUGACAUUGUGUUUUGCUUCCGUUACCUCAUAGAUUUUCAGCCUUUGCGUCAAAAUGAUUUUGUGCAUUUGUUUUCGCACUAACUUGUAUUUUUUUUAAGCACAACCAUCCAUAUAUGUAAAAAAACUCAUGGCCACUUGUGUGAUUGAUAGAAAUCAGUUAACAUCUCAAUUUCCUCAUGUGCUAUUGUAUGACUACGGAGGUUUUUCUAACAUGAUCCUUCUUACCUCCCCUUUUCACAUGAGACGUAAGAGUAUAAAGUAAAUCUGAGUCAUUGACUGCAUUAAGUAGUGGACUUGACUAAAUCUUACCUUCUUAACUCCCAUGUGAAAAGAUGGGGUAAGAGGAAGCAUGUUAAAAUGGCUCAUGAAUGUGGUGCUGCCGCCAGUGGCAGAGCUUGAGCGUAAUCCAAGAGGGCCAUUACUUGAAGGGGGGGAAAUUAGAAGGGAAGGAGGGGAAAAUAUCUAGUUUAAACACUAGUUAGGCUUAAAAUAUAGUAUAUUCAUUGAUGGGUGCAAAAAUUAAGGGGGGCCAUGGCCCCUGUUGGUCUACAUGAAGCUCUGCCACUUGCUGCCGCACAUUCUACAGUGUUGUUAUAGACACUGACUGACUCUUGUUUUUGCACUAUAUCCAAAUGUACUAGCAGUCAUAAGACACCAAUCUGUCAGGAUCUCGGCUUUUGGCCUUCUGCUAGGAUGCAUUAAAGAUAUUGAUAAGUCUCGCCAUUCCUGGAUGUUGUGAAGGUUACCUGACUGGAACAGAUUGUUCUGGAGAAGGAUAUGGAGGCGCGGCAAACCUAAAGCAACGAUGAUGCAACAAAUGGAAUGUGAUCGAGAAUGGUAUUAUCUACAUGUGCACACCAGAGAGCAUACAAAUUAGGGUCUGCAUGGACGACCAAAACACAUGGCAUUUUUUAUCAACUAGCCCAUCCUUUUUUCUUUGAUCUACUAACAUUGGUUGCCAUUUCGGGCUUUUGGGCCGACCUUCGGGCGAGAAAUUGAAGCCCAAGCCUACCCCAGAUGUCGGGCUUUGGGCUCAGGCCUCUGGGCCGGGUAGUCCAUGAACAGGUUUAGUUUGAUCUAUUCACUCACAUUUUGAUCCUCAUUCAUUAUAGCAUUUAACCAUAAUUCAUAUGAACAUGCACCACGAGAAUAUAAUAAAGGAAAUGCAUGGGCUAAUUUGUAGUACACAACGCCUUAUUGUGCGGUAUCACAAGAACAUUUUUCUCCUUGAUUACAGUAGUAACUACUGUGCAAUCUUAUAUAUCAAAUCAUAUAUUAUAUGACAAAUUAAGUAUAUUGUUUUGCUUAUUUCAGUAUUACCUUCAUAAGGAAUAUAGUCACAAGUUUUGCUCCAAACGCAACGUUAUUGAGUUCAUACGAAAUGGAACUGUGAAAGGGAAGUCGGUUCAGAAGGUGCCUAAAUACUUGACUUUCAAACAUAUAGUAAUUAUGCGAAGAUGUAUAUGUUUUUUGUAUUAACUUUAAAGUAUUAAUUUGACACGGUAUCCUAUUUUUGCACAGAGAUCAUCUGAUACUUCUAGGAACAAUCUUCAGGGUAUGUCCAGUUGGCCCCAUGCAUUUGGAUAUUAUUUUGUAUACUAUUAUUACUACACAGAGAUAUCUAACUAAAACUUAAAUAUAAUAAAUAUUCAUGGAGAGAAAAAUAGACAUUAAUGUCCACAUACACAACAAAAUUAACCAGUACUGUCCUAGUUUACAUGAAUUAAUAUUUUCAACGACAAUUAGGUUACUCAUGACAUGAUAAAGAAAAAAAAUGUGAGGUAAGAUAAGGUUUUAUAUAACUGUUCAUGGGGACCUCCUCAUGGUUGCAGAUACAUAGUUUUACAGUGCUUCAUGAAAUAGUUGCAUAUCAUCAUGUCUAAAAGAAUCAUGACGGACACAACUUCAAGAAAUUCUUCUUGUAAAAUAACAUGAUUUGUAUAUACCUCAUAAAGGAUGUAACUUGUUGGUAGCAUUUAAUAUUGUGACACACUCGCCAUCUUUUGUGCCAGCAUUAUUUGGGUGAUGAUUUAAUAUCCAAAAGCAUACAUCAAGGUAGUUAUGUGCAAUGAUAUUCUUGUGAAAAUAACUUCCAUAGUGUAUACUUGCAUAUAUGUAUUGCUCUAUUGUAUUCUCACAGUUAAUCUUUUUUCUUAAUUUUUUGUUUGUUUAUUUAUGUUUAGAGCAAGAUUAUAAAUUAAGCUGAGCAUAAUUUCUGCAGAUUAUAGAUGGCCCACUGAAAGACAAAGGGCGAAGGCGCAAACUUCAAGUAAUUCUUCUUGCCACAUAGGUUUUUCUAAUUGUGCGAGCAUACCACUUGUAACUGCCUUCAGUCAUCUAUGUCAGUAGUAUUUUGAGAAGAAUUUCAUUACAAAAUGCAACGACUCAAACAAUCAGAUUGUUCAUGACGAUUCCUAAUUGUAUAACCAAUAAGCUUAACACACCUUCCUAUUUUAGAGUUGUUAUCUUAAUAAGUAUAUACUAUCUGUUAUUAAUGUUGUUAUUGGGUGAAGAACAUUUGUUGCUCAUGGUUAGAAUGUAGAAUUUUCUUAAUACAACAACCUAGAGCGAAUGUGGAGGCCAGUAUAGAUUGAAACCAUUAAUUCAUAUUAAAAUGGUCAUGACUUCUUAUUUUUAUUUGACAUAAAUGUUUGUGACUUGUUUGAAUUAAUGUGUUCUGCAAUUAUAUCAUACUUCCGUAUUCAUACUAUUUUUAUGAAUUGUGCAGCUAGUUUGUCGACAGGAGCACGAACAACCACAACUUCUACAAAGCUUCCACAUAGUUUCAUCUAGUAUCACGCAAAAGACAUUGAGACAAUCAAGAUUACUUGAGCAACCUGAAUUAUGUUAGUUGUUACCUGCUUUCAAACGAAUGUGUCCUCUCAUAGUAUGCAUGUACUUCUGUUGUUGAGGAAUUUAUAUCAUUAGACAGUUAUGUUUUUCAUAAUUAUUGAUUAAUGGGUACAUACCUUCAAUCCUGGAAGAUUAUCAGAUAGCCAGUCAAGGAAGCGAUUUAUUUAUUGAAUUGUGCAUAAUAGGAACAUUUUUACAUUCAAAGGAACAUCAUAGGAAUAAUUUGGUAUUUCGAGAAGAUUUUCCAGUCCCCUGCCCCAACCUACUGGAGACAGUAUGAGUGGUGACAGACACAUUUGUAACGUACGAG